GCUGCAAUCUAUCAGAGAUUCCGAGUGCCCUUACUAUGCUGUCUUCGUUAGAGUACUUGGAUCUGUAUAACAAUCCAAUUACAAGCCUACCAGAGAGCAUGAACAAUCUUGUUAGGCUUCACACUCUUGCAGUAGAAGGUUGCAGAAACCUCACAAUGCUUCCAGAGCUCCCACAUAGUUUGAAACAAUUGAAUGGUAGAGGUUGCACAUCAUUGAAAAGAAUAACAAAUUUACCGAACUUGCACAUAUCACCUACCGUAUAUCCCUUCGGCAUGCAAAAGGACUUAGAUUUAAUGCAUUACAAUAUAGUAUUGGACUCAAAUUUAUGGUAUUGUGGGAAACUAGUUGAUGUUGCAAGCUUGUUCAAUACACUACCAUUGAGCAGCUUUGACAUAAAACUCCUCAAAGAUAUGGAUCUAUUCGAUUUGAAACCCAACGGUGGCGUAGAGGUCCAAAGGAACAACGAUUGUGCAAGUUUUAGCAAGCCAAGGCGCUCCAAGGUUCUCUCUCUCUCUCUCUCUCUCUCUCUGCUAUGUACAAGUGCUUAUAAUAUGAUCUCUAUGGCGUAAACAAUUAGAUUGUAAUCGCAGGGAACUUUUGAAUGCGGCAUAAUUAGCAUUUUUGUGCACGAGAGCAAGAUUCCAGAUCGGUUCAAUUACAGGUGGAUGCCUCCAGAUCGGUUCGAUUACAGGAGCAUGGGUAACACUGUGUUCUCUAUUAUUGUUCCUUCACAGCCUAAUAUCAAGAUCGUAGGUUUAAAUGCAUGUAUACUGUAUGCCCGGCAAUCGGAUCGAAGCCCUGUGAUUCCAUUUGGGAUUCCAUUUGGAAACUCUCAUGCCCAUUCGCUUGAACUUAGGAAUGAGACAAAGGGCCUUAAGUGGAACUUAAGAAUGUCGACUGGGGUUGAAUGGAAAGUGAUGAACGAAGAUAUGUUAUGGCUAAGCCAUUGGAUUAUGGGGAACAAUGAAUUGGAGUGCGGGGAAAAAGUGUAUUUUAGACUAACCGAAGAUCAUGACGAUUUAUUCACAAAGGGGAUUGGAGUCCAGUUUGGGUACGAGCAGCAAAAUAAGGAUAAGGAGGAUGUCCCAUCAAGUAGUGAAGAUCCAAUGAUCCUACCUGACAGAUCGCCUUGGGACGGCGGUCACGCUUCCAGCUGGGUAACGGAUUCAUGUCAGAGAUUUAUCGGGCCGAAAUGGAUCGAGAACCUUAAGAAGGAAUCUAUUUCAACUGUCGUGUGCGCGGCUAAUUACUCUCUCUGUAACCAUGAAGUGAUCGACCUUGAGAACGAGUCCCGCAUGACGCCAUGGUAACGAGUGCUCUAAACUAUUACCCAGGUUAAUUCAAAUUGAUGGUGAUGAUGCACAAAUCACUAAAUUCAAAUGUGUAUUGGUUGUUAAGCUUCGUUUCUAUCCAUUUUCAAUUUUCCCUAAAAAAUUGUUUUCAAUAAAACCUGUUUUGAAGAAAAAUAAAGUUUCAGAGCCCAACUAGAAAAUAAGCCCACGAGUUGUGGUGUGAACUAACUGUUUCAGGCGUAACUGCAUGAAUAAGACACAUUUCACACGUAACUGAAUAAAUAAGACACAAAGUGCAAGAAGUAAAGCUCAUAUUUAGCAGUGUUAUUUUAACAACAAUUGUUCAAGUGGUGGAUUGCCCCGGUGGGUAGGGCAUUUCUCUUAGUCCUACUGCAUUCCGGGUUCAAAGUUCCAACCAUCCCCCGUACCAGUUUAAGCACACCAAAGACCAAAUUUAGCAUGUUCUGUCGUCAUCCACCCAACCCAGCAGAUAUACAAAAUUCAAAUAGAACUUGGCAAAUUCAUCCUCUUAAAAUACAAAACGAAAAUAAUUUAUGAUCACUGACCUCUGAGAAUCGAAUGAUAUUCGGAUUCUUCAAUGAUCUGUGGUUCAUGAUUUCCCCUUGAACAUGUUCAUCCAUCUGCAUCACCAAAAAAAAAAAAUAUUUAAAAAAAAUACAAAAUGAAAAUAGUUUAUGAUCACUAACCUCUUUGGAUCGAAUGAUAUUCGGAUGGUCCAGUGAUCUAUGGUUCAUGAUUUCCCAUUGAACAUGUUCAUCUAUCUGCAUCACCAAAAAAUUAAUAAAUAUUUUAAAAAAAAUACAAAAUUUAAAGGAUAAGAAUUGCGAAGAUUCUUAGGUCUUAGUUCGAAAUGUAAUAGCUCAUCUCACCUCCAUAUAUUACCAAAUCUUAGUCUAUAUGAUUUUGCCAGAGCCACCGAAUGUUGAUAUAUAUCUGUUGCAUGUUCUACUACCAUCAACAUUAUAAAGGUUUCUAAUUGAAUCAUAUAUUUAAAAUCCAAGCAUGAAAGUUUUACAAAGAUAAAUAAACAAAUGUAAAUAACUAAUUAGGCAAUACACAGCAGAGAGGGGAGAGAGAGAGAGAGAGAGCAAUUGAAGGGAAUGCAUAGUUAUCUCUAUCUUCGGAAAAAAAAAAAGAAAAAAAGAGAGCAGUUGAAGGAGUGAGAAGCAAAGCAGCAUACCAAGUGGAGAGUAAGCAAUUAAGCAUAGUCAUCUCACGUACGGAUUGCCUGAGAACUGAUCUUUGCUUCUCUUCCUUAUGAUCCUCUUAAAUGCAAUUCUACACAUUUCUAAACCAAAAUUGCAAAGCAGAAUUCAAAGAAAUUUAAAGAAACCUAGUAAAGAUUCAAACUUUUUUAUUAUCCAAAAGAUGUACAUAACCCCAUGUAACAAAAACAAAUUUAUGACACAAAAGAAAUUAUCUUUAGCCACAAAAAGCAAAAAAGAGAAAGAGAGAGAUUUUGCUUUUUGCACUAUGCAGAAUGUGCAGAGAAUCAAAAUAUCAUAACCCAUUUAACAACAUGAUAUUUUAGGCAAAAAGGCAUCACCUUUAGACCCCAAAUGAAAGAAUUUGAGAGAGAGCGCAUACGUGGUUUCCAAGAAGAGGAAGAGAGCAAUUCUAUUUCCUGUAAAAACGAAGAAACAGAGCAUUAACAAACACACAUGCACAAAUCUCAAAAGGAAAUUGGUAAGAAAUAAUCGUAAUUGAGAAAAUAAUUAGAAAACUAGAGAGGACACAAUUGGAGUCUAAUUCUACAGAACCCACGAGUCAAGACAAACAAAUAUCCAAAAUUAACAGAUUACAGUAACAACAUUCCAACAAAAGUAAGAAGACCAGAAAAAUUAUCUAUUCUAAAGUACAUUAGUUCCAUCAUGCAUAAAUCAAGGGAGUCACGGAAGGCCAGUAUCUUAAGGUAAUCCAACAUGUUAAAGCAUCCAAACAGAGACUCAGAAUUACAAAACGCAUGAAAAUUCACAUUCCAACGUGUUAUGCAAUCACCAAUUUCAGAUCAACCAAAACCAAAUAAAUUUAUAUCAGUACGCAUCAAACCCACCAAACCCAAAAUCAAAAGAAGGUGAUCAAAUGUUUGAUUUUGCUAAAUAUUACAAAAUAAAAUAAAUAAGAAUAUGUACAAAUCAACAUGCAUACCUUGUAGCGGUGCAGGGAACAGUAGCGUGAGCUGCAUCGAGGGCAUGUGUACUGGGAAAAUUGCUACUGGCAGCUGCAACUAACAAAAACAAAAACAAAACAAAAUUGAAUAAAAUCAAAAUUGGAAAAAUUUCCAGAAAAUAAAUAAAACAAAUUAUCAAGCUUUGUUGAUGAAAGAGAGGUGGGGUUGGUGAAGAACAUACAUGCGGCUAUGAGCAGUAGAUAAAAGAUUUCAAAAUGAUUUCUUCACUUUUCAAUCAGGACAUGCACGAAUAUAAAAAUGGCAGAGAGGAUUAAAACCAUACCAAACACUAGAAAAUCAAGUAUAAAAAUCGUACUUACCUUGUGAAUGAGGACAUGCAGACACAUGAUGGAUGAAGGACAGCAAAUCCCGCAUACACGAACCUAACUUGCCAUUGUUCGCCACCCCCACCCCUCCCUAUCUCUCUCUCCCUGCAAUCCCAACGAUUUCUCUCACUGUCAUCCUCCCACUCCCGAAUCGAAUAUCCGCACGAAAUCUCUCUCUCUCUCUCUCUCACUCGGUUUCUCUCACUGUCACCCUCCCACUCCCGAAUCAAAGAUCCGCACGAAAUCUCUCUCCCUCUACAAGCAGCAUGGCCGCUGUCCCUCUCUGUCUGCCCUCACCAUCAAUCCCAAUCCCAAAAUUAAGAUGACAAAAGUGCCCUGCAACCCUUUAAUUCUAGCCGCGUGAUCCUAACCCUAGAUGAAUAUUUCUGGAAUUUGAACACCCAAAGUAUCUCAUCAAAUGUGGAUGUACCUGUCAUAGUAUGAAUCUGAGAAUUUCUCAAUUCAACUCUCGAAUUUACUGUGACAGUAAUAAUAUAUCAUGUGGAAAGAGGUGGGAUUAUGGUAAAAGAUAGAACUUUAGCUGAUGGUAAACAACAUUUGGGAAUUUGAUGUAAGCCGGCUGGGAAUCCCAAAUGUUGUUUACCAUAAGUUAAAAUCUAAUCUCUGAUUAAAAAAAUAAUAAUAAAAAGCACACCUCAAACUGAUAAGGACCAUAAUUUUCAAGGGACACUGCUUUUCAAUGGUUACCAUAAAAAAAAAUAAUGAAAGAACUGAUCAUUUGAAUUAUUCAUGACAGAACCAAUUUUGAUUUGAAAUAUGAUGGCCAAGAACAAAUCACACUGCUUUUCAAUGGUUACCAUAAAUUUUCAGAAGUUACAGAAGAUUUUUUAUCAAUUGAAAAGACAAUGGUCACAUAUAUCUACAAUUAACCACCAGUAAGCGUGAAAUACUACAUCACAAUGCAAUAGCAGCUAUACAGGAUGUCAUGCCAUUCAUACUAUGACAAAUCACAAAAGUGACAAUUAAAGGGCACCUAACAGACACCCCCAUCUCUCUCUCUCUCUGCAAUAGCAGAAAUCCCUCGGGUUUCAGGAAGCAAAUGGAAAACAAAAUGCUUUUACAUCCCCUACCCAUACCCAUACCCCUCCCUUACCCAUUCCCUUUACCCUUGCAGAAAAUCCUCCCAUCUCUCUCUCACCCUUGUCCCAUCUCUCUGUCUGCAAAUCGCAGAAAAGAAACCCUGAACAAAUCACUGAAAUCCCUCGCCUAAAUCCUCCCACAUUUCUCUCAGACACCCUCUAUCUCUCUCUCUCUUUGCAAACCCUAAACCAAAUCUCCUAAAUUCUAUCUCGGACACCCCACAUACAGCCAAGAAGCCAAGAUAUUAAAGCAAUCUCUACAUAAUACUUUGGAACAAUGAAGCAAAAUGGUACUUACUUGUUCCUUGUCCAAAACCGUUGGUGCCGCCGCACAUUGUUAUUAAUUGUGGGUUGAUCAAAUCCUUCAUGGCUUAGACUGCAUGAAGAAUUAGAAACUAAAAGAUGAAUAUAUGCUGUAAAUCAUCAUAUAAAUGUAACUGCAUUUAAAAAAAGAAGGGAAUGAAAAAUUGAAUUCUAUUUCAUCAGUAUGUAACUGCAUGAAAAGUUACAUUGAAUGCAGACUCAAUCAAUUUCCCCAAAGUCAUUGUUAACUGAAAAUCAAUAUCAAACCCAUAAAUACCACCAUUGAAUUUGCGAAACCCAAAAACAAAAUACAAAAAUUUACUCAUAUAAUCACAGAAAAACAUGAAAUUUGAGCACAUAUUUGGCAAAGUUAAAGGAUAAAGGCACUCACAUCAUCGUAGUACUCUUCGGGAAGAACUUCUAAUAAUGGUUCUUCCUUUUUCUUGCUCUUCCUCAGAGCUGCCAUAAAAAAACCCAGAGAAGCACACAAAUUCAGAAAAGAAAAGGUCCAAAACAGCCAUAAAAAAUCCAGAAAGCAUACAAAUUUAUCAGAACAAAAACCAAAUGAUGUGAGAUAGUGAGAGGUUGUGUUAGGCACCCGUAACACGUUUUGGUUUCAAUUAAAACGGCCAGAGCGUUGCAUGCGAGGAAGAUGACGAUAGGAUUCCAAACACAACAUCCACAUUCUUUUUUCUUGGGUGAACUAACCAAAUCAUAUUAUAUACUAAAAUGACAUAAAAAAUCAUUCACAAAAUCACAACAAAAUAGAACAAAAACAUUCACAAAAGAAUUCCCCAAGUUUUCAAAUGGAAAUUAAACAUUUACAUAGCUUAUAUAAAAAGCCGAAAUAUAAAAAUUAAUCAAAAGGUUGAGAUAACUCACAUCCCAGUAAUGCUUAUUGCUGAUAUUAACACCCACUGACAGCAGCCCUCGGUUUGUGGAAUUCCCACGCCCAACUCCAUGACCUCUGUCUCUGCCAUCCCUCUUUCCCUCACAACCAUACCCACUUUCGACCCACCCCUCAAUCCCGACACCAACCCUUGAUUUAAGGAGGAAAAAUCAAUCCAACCACCCUUUUCGCAAGCCUCACUCCUCCCUCUCCCUUCCCCUCCCUGCCAAUCCCAUGCCCAUCUCCCUCGUUGUAGCUCAGCAACCCACGUUUUUUGGCACCAAACACUAUGUCCUAGGAUGAUGUGACAAUUUAUCAAAGUCAGAAAAUGCAUUAUCUCAGUUUAGGUUGGUAGCAUAUAUGAUCCCUGUGCAGCAACAUAGAAUACUUAGUAAAAGUUGCAUUUCUGAGAACAAAUAACCAAUGCUUGACCGAAAAAACAAUGCAGAUGCUUUAGUAUACAGAAUUACAGUUUUAUUCAAGCUUCUCAGUCACAAACUAACCUUCCUUUGUCGAGCAGCAAGGAGGAGGGGGAGAAAAUUGAUUCCUGGAGGAGCUUUUUCGUUCAAAACUAAGUCAAGCUGCAAGGACGAAGGGUCGAGGAUUGUUCGUGAGCUGGUGUUGCGGAUAUAAACAUAUAGAAAGCUCCACUGUGUCAUAACAAACACAAAUUGAAUAUGAUCACCAUGUCACAUUAAUUACCUAAAAUUCAAAAUGUUAUAUACAUUAGUAUGUUGAAAAAAUUAGUUACAUUUCAUUAAACUAAAAAAUUUACAGAAUAUGAGAAAUAAAGAAUUUGUAUUGUUUAUAUAAAAAUAGAAUAACAAAGAACAUCAUUGACUACCAUUUUAUUCGGUAGUUUCCUCCAACUGCAAUUGUUGAGAUUGUAGGAGAUCUUCGAAUAAAGCCUUCAAUUCAACCAUCCGUACACAAACAUAAUAGACAAUGUUUUUUAGCGAAUUAUGGACAAAGCUUAAUAUUCAAAUGCAAUGAAGUGGAAAACACAAUCCAAUAUAUGGAUAUGCAUGCUAUAGGAAACCAUUCAUUUGUAGAUGGUAUUGUGUCACCAAUAUUGUAUUUAAAAAUCUACCCAAGAUAAAGAUGCAAUAUAUAGUUUGGUAAAAAAUCAAAACGAAGAGUUAACAAAGGAAAAGGAUUAAGACGUUGAAAAUACAAAACUGGAUUCUUUUAUUUGGUAAAGACGGUUCCCCCACUGGCUGUCUGAAACCACAAACACUUUUUACAUAGAAACUUUAUAAACUAAUAGAUUAAAAUAAAUCUAAGUGUUAUAAAUGAAAAAUCCUGGGAUUGAUAGUAAUGGCAUCAACAGUGCCACCACAUCCCAAAUAAAUGAAUGAAAAUAUAGUGAUUAACAUCCAACAAAGAAGCUCAAGCUUGAAAUAAACCAAGGCAUAAAAGCUUACCAAACUUUUCAAAUGGCUAAAUUGUUCAUUUAACAUGAUAACUUCUUCCUGCAAUCCAUAAGUAAGACCAUUAGAUGCGGUAAACAAAACAUCAUACUUCAUAUAUGGCAAUCUAGCAGAGAAACCAAUUGCAUUCAGAUGGAGCCUAAUUUGUGGAACUACAUUUAUAUGCACUGAAAUGCAUUAUCAUGUUGUCAUAUUUAAAAACUGAGGUUUAUGCAGUAUGCUAUCUUUAGCAUACACAAAAUUUUUGCCCCUCAUUUUUGAAGUUCCGCACUUCAUAAUUUAUAUACUUUCAGUUUCCCUUCUAAUGAAGGUAUGGACUGCUUUCCAUUUGGAAUUUUCGUAAGACAAUGUUAUGAUAUUCCUAAUUUAGAAUGUGUUUCCACUCUAAUGAAUGCAAGCCCUAAAUCAUAAAUAUUGUACAAUUAUGUGUUUGAGCACGUGGCAGGGCAUGAGAAUCAGAACCACUCCGUGUUGUUCUCCGCUUCGUGAUUUGGUCAUCAAACAAUACUUCAUUCCCUCCAUCCUUUAUCACGUCUUCUUGGUGAUCAUUUGUCCAUCUCCAAACUGUAUCCACAAAAAACUACAAAUUAAUCCCAAAAACAAUCAUACAAAAAAAUUGCGGAUUAGAUUUGAUUACGUACCAUUUUCCCAGGAUGUAGAGCUCAGUGAUGAUGCCCUCCUCGCUUUGCACCUUAAACAUCGACAUUUUAAACCAGAAACCAAAAUCAAACAAACAUAAAGAAAUACGACUGACAGAAUCACACUGUAAGACACCACUCCCUCGCUUCCACGGUUCCAACCACAACACCAAAAACAACAAUAACAAUAAUAACAAUGUACACUCAGACAAAACAAAAAUGCACCACAGCCCUCCAGUGCUAUAACAGCACUUCUCUUCUAGGACAACUUUGAUAUCUAUGGACUGUUCCCUUCUCCAUGUUACAACGAUAGUAUUAGAGCUCUUACAACAUCACAGAUGCAUGACCAAGAGUGUAUUCGACAACCUUUUCUCUGAUCCUUUUCAUCAGUUGGUCCUAAAGAUUGUAUUCUUCUAAAUUCAUCUUCUUUUUGGGUAUCCAGAGACAUUUAUCACUUCAUAUGCCGAACACAAAACACCUAACAUUUUGGGUGACAAAUUAGAAGCAACUAAUCGGAAUAUGGGUACUGAGAAUUGAAUUACUCUUUGUUCUUAUAGUCCUAAUGGAAAUUACUCGUUGAUUCACAAAAUUAAUCAAACUAAAAUGCAAGAAAAGCAAAAUCAACAACCCAUACAGAAUUAUGAAAAGAUCCCAACAAACCAACCAAACAAUUAACAUUUAAAAAAAAAAAUUGCAAAGUUGGAGGGAAAGAAGCACGAGAAAAAAUAUACACAUCCAAUGCUUUUAAUCUAAAGCUAGAAGUAGGAAUAACUGAGUAAGUUAAUGAAGGCAAAGCAGAGGGUAGGAAGCAGAACAUACCAAGAGACCAAUAGGGCAUCCGGGCCGGUCUGCCGAUGAACGCCGUGUCCUGGUCGACAACGCCCAACGGCGUCGGCCCUGCAAAGAAGUAAAAGUCGAAAACACUCCCAAUGACCUUGUAGGUGAGAGAAGUCCCUCUGUAGAACACAUCCAUGCCAUUGCUGUUGAUCAGCAUAACAGAGUGCGCGUAAGCCUCGUUGCCCACAUUCUGGAGAUCCAUGUAAAACCGGGUGGGACCCGUACAAAUCAGUGUUGAGAUUGAUCGCCGAGACUUCAGUGGUGAAGAGGGUGUGUGGAUCGUUCGGGUAGAGCUUGAUCCCGUGCGGCUGAGUGUUCUCUCCGAGGCCGUACAGGGAGGCGUCUUUCGGCGGUCGGGUGGAUAUCUCGAGGUACUGGUCCUUAAACACCAGUUCGCCAUAUGGGUCUUUGGAGUAGGAGCUCAAAUGAAGAGGACCUGCCCGUUGGACUUCCUCUUGAAGGCGAACCCAAAUGGGUCGGAGAUGAAGCUGAGAAUGAGCUCAGAGCCGGAGUAGUCUGAGACUUCGAUGGGGUUCUUCGUCUUCGCCUGAAACACGUUUUGGUUUCAAUUGAAAAGGCCAGAGCCUUGCAUGCGAGGAAGAUGACGAUAGGAUUCCAGAGAUAGAGAAAGAAGGAGUAAGACGACGGAGGCGAGAGAAGGAAGACGGCGGCAAGAGGAGGAUAGGACGGAGGCGAGACCAUCUGUAUCGUAGGUCUGUGAGACGUACAAGGCAAGGAGGGUUUGAGAAGGAAACGGAAAAGGCCUGCUUUACCAUUGCUAUUCCCUUCCCGCGAUCAUCAAGGCGUGCGCAACAAGAUCAGCGGCAGAGAGAGUCUGUGGCAAAUUUGUAUAUAAAUUGAAAUUCAUCCCAAAACAUUGUUCAUUUGAAUAAUGCAAUUGGAAUCCCUUCUUUAGACAAAAGUAAUUUUUAAGUAGAAUGCCAACUUAGAUUUUGAGGAAAACUAAUGAAAAUGACUUGAAAACUUUGAGUUUUAAUGAUAAGGACAAAAUAAAUGGUAAAGUGAAUAGUAUCAUAAUUGACUUUUUAGUGUAAAAAUAUGAUUUUUCGUUAAAAUGAAUAUUACCGCGGGUUUUUCAUUAAAACUCCCUAGAUUUUAUGCAAACCAAAACCUUACCAUUAUUCAUACUUGCCAGAAGGCCUCAGAAGUCUCCACUAAAAUGCUUCCCUAAGCACAAGUACAUAAUAAUGCCACUGACAACUAGCUCGUCGAUCACCUCAGCGCUGCGGUUAAUGCUUUCGGCGCCACUUUUACAUUUCACUCUUAGUAAGAUGAGAUGAAGACGGGUUCUCAGAAGAUCCAAUUCCGGUAUCUCAAUUCAAUUGCGCAAUUGUUCCUCGUUGUAACUCGAUCUUGAGUAUUGUACAACCAUCAUAUUGCCAACAGCCUUUGAGUCCCGACUACAAGCAGAAGCAUUUACCAAGUUGUCACAAGGCCCGUCAAUACUGGCAGUGUCAUCAGCGGAGGAUGAGUGAUUAAUCGUGCUUCUGUUCUUGUUUUCAGUUUCCAUUCUAUCAUUUUCUGUAAUGACACCUAGAGUUUCAGCCGCUUCAACCACUUGCGAUUCAACAGAUGUCUUGCAAAUAACAGCGGGAUCAAUAUCAUGGCUGUGGUAAUCAUCAGGAUGAGUUACUUUGCAUUGCUCUACAAACUCCAUUGUUGAGGAAAGGAUAUUCAUGUCCUUGUCCAUCGUAUUUUCUUGGCUAUUUCUAUUUAAGAUGUCAUCCUCAAAUCCGGUUGGAUUAGUGCGAGCAUCAUCUGCAGGAGACAGGUCUUCAUCUAUCUGUUAAACAAUGACCUGUGUUUGCUUUCAGAGAAGACACUGCUAGACACAACCUCGUCAACAGAAUGCAACCCUAGUGGGGAAAUGCAGAUGAAAGAGGGAUCAACUUUUCAUCGCCAGUAAUUUCUUCUCCAUAACUCUCAUUACAUACGCCAUUUCCACGUGCUACCACAUUACUCGGUUAGGUAGCCACUACCUUUGGUUCUCUCAGCAGCUACAUCUCCAUUACCACAGUUAUUCGCAUUUGGAGAUAAUACUUCCUCAUUUAUUGGAUCCUCAUUUACUAAUCCUUGAUCUCGAUUGGCAAAAGAUGCCACAUUUAUAGUGGUAUCAUUGCUUUCCAAAUUAACUAGUCCACUUAAUUGCUUCUGUACAAAGACUGCUAAAGAAACAGCAUGAUCACGAAUCAAAGAAUCAUGAGACGGGUAGUGUAGCAUAUCGAUCAAGGCCUUAUGGUACUGUGUGGCAGAUAUUAAUAACUUUGAGUAUAUGUUCACACAGGUUGCCCAUUUCUGCCCAAUGGCAGUUGCAAAUACCAAACUCGUCAAUAACUUUUGCACGAGUACCUUCUAUGAUAAUAUUGCAGUUAAGAAUCUUCAAAGCUUUACGCCAAGAUGUUAAACCACUCGCCCACUCAUCUUUCCAAUAUUGUGCAAAAUCAUCAUUCUCAGAAUAUUCAUCAAGCCAGAAGAAGGAAUGCACUUUUGUACCCAGCUUAUUAACCAACCAAUCAACUCGUUUUUACACUCUAGGUUUAUUCUCGUUCAAUAACCUAAGCUUUAGUGGCUGUGCUAGAACUCCAUUGCCGCAGAGGUUUCCUAGCUAGCAAGAGGAAGAGUUUGUAGUGCAGAUACCCACAUCCCUGAGUCAAAAGACAUUUUUCUUGUGCGAGUUAUUCAAGAUAAAGCAAAAGAAAAUUAAGGACCCUGUUUAAAGAGAAGGGGGUGAAGGAAUUAAACGACACACUUGUUACUUCGUAUCAUAAGGCAAAAUAUACCUCUACUAAAGAUGAUAGUAACUUAGCUAAUUCUAGGAUACUAAGUUGCCUUAAAGUAAUCUAUAAAAUCUUAUUCAUCAAGAAAAUCUUCUAUGAAGUCCUCAGACAAACGCUCGGCUCCUCGUUGUUGACAGAUGUUAUCCACUGCUUGACGAAGCCUUCUUGACAUUGUAGCUCGCAUCUCAUUGUCCACACAUUUCUUUACUAAGUUUGUAUGCCAUGCAUGAGGAACCCGCCAAAAGCUUAUCAACACUGAACACUGAAAUACAUCCCUGAGUAUAAUGAAAUAAAACUGUCAGUAUCAAGUUUGGGCGAGGACUGAGCAACCAACAGGAUGGUGAGCACAUCAGCUAGAGGAUCAUCCACUAUGAAACUAGCCAACUUCCAAACAGGAUCUUUCGUUUCAAUUCUAUUGUGAAGAGCUCUCAUCCAUUUAUGGGCAUUGGAACUUCCAAACUUUGGAGCCACUAUCCACGCCACCGGGAUAGUAAUAAUGUUGCAUGUCACAUCCCGGCCCGGGACAGAUCACUUCCCGGGCCCACUCCACCACCAUAGCACGAUAUUGUCCGCUUUGGGCUUACCAUUCCCUCACGGUUUUGUUUUUGGGAACUCACGAGCAACUUCCCAGUGGGUCACUCAUCCUAGGAGUGCUCUGGCCUCCUUCUCGUUUAACUUCGGAGUUCCUAUGGAACCCGAAGCCAGUGAGUUCCCAAAAGGAGUGAGUUCUCAAAAGGCCUCGUGCUAGGUAGAGAUGGGAAUAUACAUUUAAGGAUCACUCCCCUGGGCGAUGUGGGAUGUCACAAUCCACCCCCCUUAGGGGCCCGACGUCCUCGUCGGCACACCACGGCCAGGGUUAGGCUCUGAUACCAAUUUGUCACAUCCCGGCCCGGGGCGGAUCACUUCCCGGGCCCGCUCCACCACCAUAGCACGAUAUUGUCCUCUUUGGGCUUACCAUUCCCUCACGGUUUUGUUUUUGGAAACUCACGAGCAACUUCCCAGUGGGUCUAUCCUAGGAGUGCUCUGGCCUCCUUCUCGCUUAACUUCGGAGUUCCUAUAGAACCCGAAGCCAGUGAGUUCCCAAAAGGCCUCGUGCUAGGGUAGAGAUGAGAAUAUACAUUUAAGGAUCACUCCCCUGGACGAUAUGGGAUGUCACAUUGCAACAUGAACAUAUUCGGUUUCUCAUUAUUAUUAACAAUUGUAGUUAAUAAUAAAAGGUUAAACAAACUAAACGGACCUUCAAUUUGGUUGUUCCGAACCUUGAAUCAGAAAGCUAUAAGGCUGUGAUUGCCGAAGCAAAUCAUCUGUUGCAACUGCCACUCUGUUUGAAUGCCCAAAGUGAAAGGGUCCACAUAAGAGAAAUCCUAAUAGAAGAAAACAUGACUCUGAUGGUUUUCUACCCACAUGCUAAUGCUAACCGCAUCAUCAGCAUCCAAUUCAUAUAUAGAGCAUCGAAUGACCCUCUCCUGCCUCGAACAUACCUAUAGGUUAAAAGGUCAUCACGGUUAGAUGGACCACCCUGUUUCUCUACAGAUUCAUCGUGUCUCUGCAUUAUAGUCUCCACAGAGACCCCCGCAUAUAACAAAGAUUGUACACGAAGAAGCAGAUCCUCAGAGAUACAAGGGGCAAAUAUAGCACGUGUUCCAGCAGCCAUCUUAUCUUGUGGACCAUGGCAUGGCACUCAUUUCCUAUCUACAUGCUUAUCCUGAUUAUAUAUGAUACGCGCCACUAAAGAAUACCUAGAAUACCAUCAACCUUUGGUUUGUUAGGCGUCUAUGGCUGCCGCCGUCGCCUCGCUUCAACAUGAAAUCUUGUUGGACAUUCUUUAUUAGAGCAUUCACCCCUCAGAAAAUCGUCAACUCUAGGAAACGGAAUUAGAGCAACUCCAUCUUUCUUGUCCCGCCAACCUUCCACCUUUGACCACACAAGAUCAGAAGAAGAAAACUCCAGUGCAGGUGGACUCUGCACAGGAAGGGACAUAAUCUCAUCCCAUCUAGCCAUCUACAACAAAUAAAACGGAAAUGACAAAUUUAAUACAAUAGUCAUUUUAACAGAAGAAUCAAGACCAAAAUCCCAAUAGUCACACUCACACCUAACCCUUAACUAUUAGUUGAAUAAAAGGUUUUUCUAAUCGAAAAAAUGAACAAAAAUGGCGGAUUUUGCAACUGGCUUCGUAAAAUCACACGUUAAUAACAGUAAUAGAGGUCCUUUUUACUCUAAGCAGUACAAAAGAAAGUCAAAAACUUCAUAUCUGAUAACAAGAAAACAAACAAACAAACAAAAAAGAAGAAACAAUUUAAUUCAUGCAAUACAUUUCAUUCCCAACAAGAGAAGUUCAAAACUUUAGCAAACAAUUAAACUGAUUUCGUCUCUGUUUUCAUAAAUUCUCAGAAAUUAACAGUCGAAAAACACAAAUUAAAGGAAAAAAAAAGUGAAAUUCUUUGGGUUGUCAAAUAGAGAAAUUAUAUUCACACACCCAAAAUUUCUUCCACACAUUUUUAAUUUUUAUUUUAUUUUCUACACACUACUAACACUUGAUAGAAAAAGAUUAAAAAAUUAAAGGAUGUGAGGGAAGUAAUUUAGGAUGUGUGAAUAUAAUCUCCCUUUUAGAUAAGUGAAGUCGUUAGCUUCAGAGUCACACAUUGAGCUAUAUCGAUAUGUAUAGUAUCACGCCCUUUAUGCAAAAAGAUCCCCAUUUUUUCAAAAAAAUGGGGAUUAGGUGUAGGUCCACUCCACAACGAACUUUAAUGAUCUGAAUCGUUUAUUUUGUAAGGAACCAAAUCCCCUGCGGAUCCCUAAAAACUGAGCCUUCUGAGCAAAGAAUUAGGACAAUUGAAAUUUGAUCAAACGGUUACAAACAGGGCCCCUCUAAAAGUUAUAAUAAUUGUAGUCAUUGGAUUAAAUUUCAACGGCCCAAAUUCAUUGCUCAGGGGGCUCAGUUUUUGGGGAUCCAAUUCCAAUUUGUAAGUCUCAUUUCAUAGAUUAUUCUUACAAGAAUUCAAUUCAAUCCAAAAUCAUUUAUCUAUUUUGUAAGUCUCAUUCCAUAAAUGUCAUUAUAUCAUCAUUUCACGUGCUACCACAUUAUUCGGUUCAGCAGCCACUUUACCCUUGGUUCUCUCAGCAGUUACAUCUCCAUUCCCACAAUUACUCAUUUGAAGAUAAUACUUCCUCAUUCAUUGGAUCCUCAUUUCCUAAUUCUUGAUCUCGAUUGGUAAAAGACGCACAUCCAUUGUGGUAUCAUUACUUUCCAAAUUAGCUAGUCCACUUAAGGGUGCGUUUGUUGCACUGGAAUGUCUCGGAUUGGACUAGCUUUAGGAACUAAGCUGGAUUGUCUUAGAUUAGCUUAAUGAAGCAUUUGAUGCAGUAUCGGACUAAAAAGUAGGAUAAAAAUUAAUUUUCCUUUUUUUUUUAUCCAAAAACAAAGAACUCUAUCUGUCUCUCCAUUUUCUUUGGUCAAACUAUCUCUCCUCCUUUUUCUCCAUCUCUUCCAUUUUCCUUUCCCGUCCAAUUCCUUUUUCCUUUUCUUCUCGAUCACAAAUAUACACAGUUCACAUGCAAACCAAUUUUCCAUCAGACCAAACAACACCCAUCACCUGCCUUAUCAAUCCAACAAAAUUCCCAAACUUUCCCACCCUAAAAUUUGACAAUUCCAUUCAAAUUAAACAAAAGUUAGAGCUGGAAAACUGAGGAAAGAAAAAGAGAGAGAGAGAGAGAGUAAACGGAUCACCAAUAGUAGGAGGCGGCAACGCCAUAUAGUUUGAGGACGAGCAGUAGCGUAAAGGAGAAGAGGAGGCUAUGGGCCGCCAAGGCCUGCACGAACUUCAACAUUCUCCGCUAGUUCAUCAUCAUCGUAAAACAAUGUCGUCCGCUGCAAAAGUCGAGACUUUAGAUUGUGAGAAAUCUUAGGAGGAGGUUGAUGUUUCAGUAUACGCCAUUGAAACGAAAGAGGCAAGAAAUAUUCUUUCUCUCCUUCUUCUUUUUCAUCGUUCGGGUUGACCUAGAUGGCAAAAAAUCCCAAAUCACCAACCCAGAUGCCAAAAUGGCGCUGGGUUUGCAGGACGAUGGAGAUCAGAGACAACCGUUUCUGGAGAAGGGGGGUUAAUGCUACUCAUGUGGGUUCGUAGGACGCUGCUCGCAUACCAGGGAGACGGGACUAGCAAUCCCGUUGUUUUUGGGGGGCCUCGCUAAGACCUCCUAGUGAGGGAUUUAGUCGAGGCGAGUCCUCCUUUGUCCCAUUUACCUUUAGUCCCGCCAGUGAACAAACAUGGAUUGCACUAACUUUUAACUUAAGCGUCGAGUGAGAACUAAAGAAGGCAAACAAACACCCCCUUAAUUGCUUCUGUACAGAGACUGCUAGAGAAACAGCAUGAUCAAUUGAUUUUGACGGAGUUCUUCAGCUUAAUUUAUUAGUUUUGGAUUACAUUGCUCUUGUUUAAACUUUCAAGUAAUCUUUUUCCAUAUGAUUACUUCUAUUUAAGGGCUCAUGGCUUGGGAAUUGUUAUGCUAUUAUCACCUAAAUGCUCAUGUAAAUUGAAUUCGAUCAAAUUUUUACUAGAGUAGUCGAAUUUCUAUUAGAGUUGUUCUUAGUCAUGUUUGAAUUGCCAUGUUUAUCUUAUAUUUUCUUGAUGCAAACCUGGUCAUUUUUUUAUCUAUGCAUCCAGAGCAACAAUCAUGUGAUUUCUUGACAAUGAAUUGGACUUGUUUUUUUUUUUUUUUUUUUUUUGCACUUUAGUUGUUUAUAGUAACAAAUUCACUUGAUCAAUUGAUAUGUUCUUUCUGUAUAUAUAAAAAAUAUGUGCUAAAAUUCUUAAGUGUGUAUCAAUACACACACACACACACACACACACACACACACACACACACACACACACACAUAUAUAUAUAUAUAUAUAUAUAUAAUUGUAUACACAGAUGGUUAAGAAGGAAAGUAAUGGGGCAAGUGGAUCACAACUGCCAGCUGUAUGGAAUGCUCACAAUACAUCACUAUUUUGUGACGUGUGUAUCAAGGAAGUGGAGGCAGGAAAUCGUCCUGGUACCCACUUUAAAAAAGAGGGAUGGGAAAAUGUGAGUAUUAACCUAAAUAAAGAGACUGGAGAUGAGUAUAGUAAACAACAGCUAAAAAAUAAGUGGGAUGCACUUAAAGAGCAAUGGAAAUUAUGGAAAGAACUAAAGGGAAAAGAAACUGGUCUAGGAUGGAAUCCCAAGCUCAACACCGUUGAUGCUUCGGAUGAGUGGUGGCAUAAUAAAAUUCAGGUUUGUAAGCUUCUUGUUAGUUUCUGGAUGUUGUUUGUCUAUUAUUGAGCUUGAAUGCAUUUUAAUACUUGUUUCUUUAAAUUGCAGAUCAACAAAAAAUAUAAAAGUCUGCGUAGAAAAGGAAUUAGCCCUGAUAUGGAAGAUAAGCUAGAUAGGAUGUUCAUGAAUACCACUACUGGUGAUCAUGCUUGGGCACCCUCGUCUGGUGUACUUCCAUGUGAAAAUAAUGAUGAAUCUGAUGAGGAUGAUGGCAUUCAAAUUGACAGUAGUGAUUUUGAUGAUGUUAUCCCACUCAAAAAUACUCAAGCCGAUGAGAAGUAUUUGGGGAAGAAGAAAAAAAGAACUCAACAAUUUGAUACACAAGUUAAGAAAGAGAAUAAGGAUAAAGGAGUUGUUGCAAAGAAGGGGAAAUUGGGAGGUGCUGCUAAGUUGUCAGAACAGAUUGAUCGUAUGGUUAGUGCAAUUGAGAGUAGAAAUACAACAACUUCAAACAUGGCCAAGGGCUUACAAAAUAGUAGCAUUGCUGAAGUGAUGAAGAUAGUUUCAUCUUUACCUGGUGCAGGGCCUGGGAGCCCUUUGUGGUUAUUUGCAACUCGAUUAUUUCUAAAACAAGAGAAGAGAGAAAUGUUCUUAACUAUAGAAGAUCUGGACAUCAAGUUUCAAUGGCUUAACUAUGAGCAAGCUGAAAAUUAAGUGCCAUGUGAUGCAUUUAGUUUGCAAAGUUUUAUAUUUCGUGGUAGACAGUAUAGUCUAAGAUAUCUUUAAACUUGAGUUUAUUAUUUUGAUUUGUCAUUUGGGAUGGUUACUUGGAUUUCUUUGUGUUUUACUUGGGAUUAUAAUUGGAUGGUUUUGGAUUCUUUAUUUAAGAAUAAUUUUUUUUCAUGCAUGUACUCCUAUUUGUAGGAAUAAUGAUGAGAUUUUUAUUUUUUUUUCAAAAUUGCAGAUCUCUUUCAAGAUAUGGACAUCUUGCAAGAUGAGGAAGAGUUCAACCAAACUGUAUGCCUUUGUGUUCGUACUAUAGAACAUUAUUAUCAAACAUAUAUCCACAAAACACCUUGUAUGGAUUCAUCUCAAACAGGAUAUAAGUGGUUAAUGGAAAUAUUACGGGGAAAGAGGCGUUGUCAUAGGAUGUUCAGAAUGGAUAAAGAGGUAUUUAUGAGAUUGUGUAGUGACCUGCAAAACAAGUAUGGAUUGAGGGGUUCAAGGAGAAUGUGUCCUGGUGAAAUGUUAAGAAUGUUUUUGUUUAUUCUAGGACAAGGUGAAGGGAAUAGGUCAGCACAAGAACGAUUUCAACACUCCGGCGAGACUGUGAGCAGAUACUUUAGUCAGUUACUUGAUAUUGUAUGCCUUAUGGCUGUUGAUGUUAUCAAACCACUGGAUCCUAUGUUUAAUGGUGUCUCUGCAGAGAUAUUAAGCGACUCUAGAUAUAUGCCCCACUUUAAGGUAAAAAAAAAACUAGAUAUGAUACUUCUUGCUUUGUCUUAUGAAUUAAGUUAUAUUUAUUGAAAAUUGUGUUAUAAUAUUAUUUGCAGAACUGUAUUGGUGCUAUUGAUGGUGUACAUGUUCAAGCCACAAUACCUCCCGGAGAUCAAAUACCAUAUAUUGGCAGGAAAGGGACACCAACUCAAAAUGUAAUGGCCGUAUGUAAUUUUGACAUGCAAUUCAUCUUUGCAUGUGCAGGUUGGGAAGGAACUGCACAUGAUACAAGGAUAUUUUUAUCUGUUUUACGAAACGGUGCUUUAAAUUUUCCUAAGCCUCCUAAUGGUAAUGUCUCAAACUUGUGCAUAUGUUUGAAAUUUUGCAUUUGAUUAGACACUUUUUAUAGUUUCUUUUUAUAUCAUAGUAGCAUGUUUUGAACAUUACAGGAAAAUAUUAUCUUGUGAAUGCUGGGUACCCACAGAUGAGCGGCUAUUUAGGACCCUAUAAAGGUGAAAGGUAUCAUCUUCCUGAUUUUCGUAGGGGCAGAGAACCAACAGGAUCUAGAGAGGUAUUUAACCACAUACACUCUUCUCUUAGGAGUGUCAUUGAACGCACUUUUGGUGUAUGGAAAAAGAGGUGGAGCAUUUUAAGAGACAUGCCUAGUUACUCAUUUAAGAAGCAAGUAAAGAUAAUAAUCGCAACUAUGACGCUUCACAAUUAUAUAAGAAGGUAUGCCCGACGUGAUAAUCAUUUUGACAACAUGAAGGAUGACUUGGAUGAUGACACAAACUCGGAUGAAGAACAAGAAGAAUAUCAUAUUACCGAAGGACCCGAAGCACAAGAAAUAGAGACAUUGAGGAACAACAUUGCUGCAAGUUUGAUGUGUUCGUAAUUUUUUUUAUGUAUGCUUAUUUUAUUUUAUUAUUGUUUGAAGACAUUGAAGAAAAUUUUAUUUAUUUAAUAUUUGUUGUUUUUUUUUAACUUUUGGCAAUGCAACUACAAAUGUCAAAAUAAUUUGAGGGAAAAAAGAUUAGAUAUACUUGUGAGUCAUCUUUUUAACCAAAAAGUUAAUAGAAAACUAUUUUUCUCAUUACUUUAGUCUAAACUAGAAAAUGUGCCCGCGCGAUGCUGCGGGACUUAAAUGCAUCACCUUUAACUACAUGAAUAAGAUACAUUUCACCUAAAUAAAUUCAACACAAUCAUGAAUGAAGAGAGGAAUAGAUGAGUAAAUGGGGUCGGUAAGAUAUGCAACUUCGUUUUUAUAUACAUUGAACUGAACUCACAUGAAAAGACAUUGUACAAUGAACAGGACGAAACUGAAUGUUUUGGUUCCCUAAACUGAAACCCCUUGUCUCAGACACCCAACACCUCUCACCCUCAGAUAGCCCUAAACGAAGUGCCUCGUAGCAUCGAAUUGGCCUACAACACCCCCGAGCGAGAUUGAGACUACUUUUCAUAUUUUCAUUUUAAUGUACCAGCAAGGAAACGAUAGUAUAUUCCAAAAUUAGCAGUUUACAGAGAAAUAUAAAUAUUGUUUUCAAGAAAUUAAUAUGAUUGCAAAUGUAAUAGCUCCAUGCAUAGUGAGGUAGGAUAAAUGAUGGAAGACACACUGAAAUUUGAGGUCCAUAGGUUGAGAAGAGUCCAUAGCAUUGAUCCAGAUAUGGAUAGCUUGCACAGAUCUACAAUUCAAGCUCCGAAUAAAGUAUCAAUUUAUCAGCAAUUGUGACAUUCAUUAUUCCUAAAAAAGUUAUUGAUUCACAAAUAAACAAAUGAAAGUAAUCAGAAAAGAAACGCUUACCACAUGCUAGCUGAAUCCGAACUCAAAAUGACCACGAUAUUUUCCCAGCAAUGAUCACAAAGAGAUUGAUGCUUGGGACUUCUGUCCAUCCCUGAAAACAAUGGAAUAAUAUACCCAUUAAAAAACGUCACAAAAAGAUUUACAGUAACUGUCCCAACUAUUAUAAUUAUAUGGUCUUAUUGGCAUAUUCAGACUACAAAAUAAAAGCUGGCAGUUGUUUGCACUCGUAAACAAUUUCUCUUUACAAAACUAAAUAAAUUGUAAUGACCCAAGAAAUCAAAAUUUGAUUAGGCAUUAGAAACAAUGUUACCUUUUGGAGAAAAGGAUGCUCAACCAAAUGGAAGCCCAAAUUUAAAACAGCAACUGAAUGAAAAUCUGACGUUAUAAAAUCCAUAAGAAGCGUGUAAUGCGUCUAAUUUAAAAAGUCUCUCACACAUGUAAUUGCACGUAGGACGCCAGAUUCAAAAAAAAAAAAAAAACCUUGAAACCAAAGGACUGCAAAGGAUUGCUUUGUCAUAGAAAGUAAAAGAAUAAAUUGAAUCAACUGAACAUGCUUCUUGCAAACAAAGAAAGUAAAAUACGGGGGAACAAAAUCACAAAUCAACAUAGGCAUCUCUUAAGAAUUUAAAUAACCAAGAUUUUGAUGAACUGAUUGUAAGCAUAUGUGCAUAGAUGUCACUAUUUACAUAAAACAUGUAAAGGACAAUCAGUUUUGAGUUUCAAAAUAUAAAAUAUUAAAAUUUCCAUAAAAGAUAAGUAUUGGGAAACAAAGUUGGCAUCUCACCUUCCACAAUAGGUCGACAAAUCCUUUGAUUACGCUUUAGCUUCUUGUUUAACUGAAACACAAAUUCAUUGUUCAGAAUAUCAUAAUUUCAUGAAAUGGUUCACCUUUGAUUACGCUUGCUGCUUAGUGACUUGAUAAGUCGGUCACAAAGAUAACAUGUAGAAUGCAAAUAUGGAUCAGGAAAAAACAACAGCUAUAGAAUUGAUUAUAUAGAAGAAGAAUACAUACUUAUUGUGAGGUUAUCCCAGCUAUCCACUAUGACCCAAUAUAUAUAGCAAGUAAAAACUAUGGCAGCAAAGAUCUCACGUAUAUAAAUCUUGCAUAAACUUUGUUUUUGUACAAUGUCUUCUCCCUUCAAUGACAGUUUGUUUCUUAUUCAGGAAAAUAAAAUGAGCAGGUUAAUGAUACUCACAUGUGCAAAAUGCUAAUCCUAUGGUCUAAAGUUAACUGAAUUUUUUAGUGUAAAAUACCUAAUUUCACUGCAUUUCAAUUGAUCACAGUUCGUGCCUUGUUAAACUUGAUAUACCCUUAGACAUUUUGGGAACUUGACAGCUUAAAUUUUCUUUAGUUACAGAUGUGCUCAUAAAAGCAAAUUACAGCGACCCAAUAUAUACUAAAAACUUGGAGAAGGGACUCAAUUAGUUAACGAACAGGUGCCUCGCCUUUCAUGUUAAGACCAAAGAGAGAAAACCAAGCCGAACUCUUCAAAAUUCAUUGGCACACAUGCAUCAUCAGCUCAAUUGAAUGGAUAAUGCAUACUUAGAUACAACCAUUCAAACAAUUGAUGUAGAUUGACAUAAGCCUCCAAACUUCAAAAAAAUUGAAACCUUAUAAAAGCAAAACCUUUUUUCCUUCAUAUUUGAACUGUUUCGAUUACCUUAUCUCUCUAUCACUUGAUUCAUUAUUUCUAAAGGAAGUUCUAAUCACUACCAAAACAGCUUAAUAACAGUUGAUUAUCUAAAAAAAAAAAGAGGGAAAACAUGAAAUACUAACUGCACUCAAAAUCCCAAAUGUGUAACACAUGAUUCUAAUCUAAACCCUGAUUCUAAAAUUUAGAAUUCGACACAAAAAUGAAAAUUGGAAUGAUUAACAUGGAAAUGAGAGAGGGAGAAGUGUGAGGGAAUCUACACAUGAGGGCUUCGGAUCUGAGUCCAGAGCUGGAAGCGGCAGAGGUUGCGAACUUAAGAGUAUGGAAGAGGCGGGAAGGAUCCUUGUAAAAACAAUAAAAAUUAAAUAAGAAACUCGCCGGAAACUCGGAAAACCUCGUCGAAAAAACUGGACAGCAACUUACCUCGGAUUCACCUUUAACUCGUAACAAAUCUUUUCACAUUAUUCUCUAUUGCCACUUGUACUUCACUCAGUACUAAUCGAUAUAGCUGAAAGUCUGAAUCAUGAAGAAUGAGAAGUUGAAGUAUAUCAAAUGAUAAAGUUGUCAACAAUGAAGAAUGGGACAUUGACCAUGGAGACACUGCAAGAAGCAAAAGUGAGCAAAUUAAAUAAAUACCAGCAUCAACAUUUAGAAAAAAGUAAGAGCAGCAACUAUAAAUGAAGAAUGUGCAAUCAACAUUAAAAGUGUAUAAUAGGAACACGGAUCUCAUAACUAAAAGACAUUUUCUCACCAAACAAUGGAAAAUAAUUGGAGAUGCAAUUCAAUAAAAAAAGAAGUUAGCACUUGCUUAUUGCCUUCCAAAGAAGCUAAUGAAUCCAUCUGGUUGAAGAAGUGUUUAGCAUUGCCAGUAAAAACAACAAAAAUCACAUCAAAUUUCAAAUUAAUCAACUCAAUAGCAUGCGUACCUUAACAUCUAGAUGACGAAACAUUGGUUCCUCGAACGAAUCGUAAAGAUCACAAACACAAAUCAUGAAUUAGAGUUCGAAUACGCAUCUCCCGAUUUGAAACCCUAACGUAAUUCCCCACUUGGAAGAUGCAACCUUUGGGGUUCUGGCUGCUAGGGUUGAGAUGUUAAACCUUUGACUAAGAAAAUGACAUUGGGCAGCAUAGGAUACAUACUGCUCCCCCAGAUAGACCUGCAUGAAGAUUUAUCCACCAUCACAUGCGAAAAGGAAGAUGGUCAGUAUAUGUGUUUUAGUAAUCAAUCUAUAUUUGAAGCAAUGAAAAAAAAGCAUAUGACAUGAGCUAUCAUAAAUUAAAAUUAUCAACAAUCUCUUCCCAUUACGAAACAUAGAGAAACUACAAACCAUAACAAAUACAUUGAAAUACGCAAAUAUGCAGCAAAUCCCUCAAGCAAUUAAGAAAAAAAAUGCCUCUUAAAUCAGCAACCAAAUUCAAAUUAACAAAUGUCUCCAUAAAAGAAGUAAAAUGGAUGAAAAGAUACCUGGCUUUUUCAAAACAAUUCAAAUUCCACAACAUUUCAUUCAAAACAGUUCAAAAUUCAUAACCCCUCAAGCAAUUGGGGCUGUAAGUUACGUAAUCGGAUGGCUACAACCAAACGAAGAGCUUCAAUCAAUUAAAGUCAACAAAAUAUCAAUAAUUAAUCUAAAAAAAAAAAUUAAAUAAAUGAACACCAGGGGACUGAGGAAUGCUACUAAACAUCAGUAAGAACAGAAACGAAUAAUUUAAAUGCUUGAGCUUCAAUGAAAGCAUUUUACCCUUGCAAUUUUCCAAGAUAGCGGAGAGGCAAGAUGCACAUGUAUUAGUGAGAGGAUUUUCAAAGAUAUUGAGCACUUCCAAUCGAGCAGAUAGCAAAGGGCAUUCGCAAAUCUGAAGAUUGAAAUUAUUGAUCGAGACAGCCAAAUGAAUAGAGAUAUAAUCAUACAAUCCCCAAAAUCCAAAUCCAAAUCUGAAACGCCUGAUCCGUUUCUGGAAAAUGGCAGAGAAAAAUAGAAGAACUACGUUUUUAGAUGACCGGAUUGAAUUUGAGGCAGAGAGAGGGGGAGAGAAAGAGGGAGGAAGAGAAGCAGAAAAGCGAUAGAACAAAAUGGAAGACGCUUGAAGGGUCUUCCUUACCAACGACGUGAAAUCCAAUUGCCAUUUCAAGCUCCCUCAAUCACGACCUGUAGGAAAAUAUCAAACCCAAACAUAAGUUCACUGAAAUUCGAAUUCAAUAUAAUCAAACACAAACAAAAUAGCAAAAUUAAAAUAAAUAAAAAACUAAACUAAACUAUAAAUUAAAACUUUCAAUUGAAUAACCCCACAAUUUAAAUUACUAAACAGUAACAGAUUUCUCUGAGUAAUCAACUUCUCGAUUAUGGUCAUCGAACACGACAUUCUCCAAAACUGCCAAACACAUGCAACCAUAUUUGAUAAGAAUUUGAAAUAUCACUCCAAUCAUGACACAGAACAUAAACAUUUUGCGCACUGUCAUUUUUAAAGUAGAACGUUCAAUUAAAUCAUGAUGUUAAGUACCAGUCCCAAAUUUGAUAGCAUUCCAAAUAUCUGGUUCCUUGUCCAUUGACAAAUCAAUGCACUUGGCAUAGCAACCACCUUCAAUGUUUGACACACCAUUGUUGCCCCAGCAGUGCUCAUCAUCUCCAAUUAGAUACCGAUUAUGAUCCGUAGACAGAGUCGUCUUCCCAGUGCCUGCAACAAACAUCCCAGGAUCAGUUACACGAACACAAAAGAAACUGAAACACAAAAGAUUGAUGUAUCCAUCACCAAUUGAUCAUUGUACACAUAAAAUUAUCAUGAUUCAUACCUCUGCGUCGAUAUGGAAUUUUAUAAACUGGACAAAUGGAACCCAAUUUCAUCGACUUCACGGUGCAAGUGCUGUAAAAAAAUAAGCAAACACUGGCAAUAUGAUCAAGCACAUUCCAAGUAUUAAUACAUCCAAAUAAAACCUAACAUUCAUAUGCAAAUAACAAUGAAGGUAGAGAUUACUUGUAAGAGAUGAUUGCAAUUGAGUGAAUCCGCAGAACUCAGUAGACUCAAACUGCAAAACAGAUGGGGAAAAAUCAAACCCAUUAACAGAGUGAAGAAAUUUUUUAAAUCUUUAAACGAAUUCUGGACAGAAUCAUGUAAAGGGUCUGUUUUGGCUACCGAGAAACUUAGUAUACAUUUAAAUAUUAUUACAUGUUAAUACAAAAAUUUAGCUUUAUUCAGAUGGGAGAGAUCAAAGGUUGCAUCAUUCAGCUUCACACAUGGCUACAACACAAUUUCAAAAACUCUUGUCAUCUCAAAGUCACAUUCUUUAUCAAACUCCCACUCCAUAAUCGAACAGAGGUUGAUAACGGACAAAAAGAAACACAAAGUACGAAAUAUAAUCAAUAUCAUCAGUCAAAACUUACUGCAAAGGGUGAGGGGUCAACCAUGUGAUUUUUUGCCCCUUAACCUCGGCCUGCAUGGACAAACAACGGAAGAAUUCAUACCCAAAUAACACAAUAACAUAAAAUGGCAGGAAUGUAAAUAAUACAAAAUCGAGGGUCCAACACACGUUGAUAUGUCAUCGUGGUUUCCAAUUGAACCAUGAAUUCCAGAAUGUAAAUCAUACCUUGAGUAUAAGAAAACCAGAAAAGGAAAAUUAAAUCCCUCACAAAUGGUGGAAGAAAAUAUGAGAAACCUAUAUUAGUCCCAACGGUGUGAGUUUUCAUCAAAGAAGUAGACAAUCCACACGCUAAAUCACCAAUCAAACAUGAAGAUGAUCACAAAGAAGAAAUCCCUAAAACCAAUAUUUUAUUAGAGUUGAAAAUCGAAAUUAAGCCAAAACGGAACCGACACUACCCAAAUUAAGCUAAAAAUUCACUAACCCAACAUAAAGGCAAAGAAAAAUCACCUCUAGAUGACUGCCAUUGAUUCAAUGCAAAGAGAGCUCAAGCUGCUUAAUAUUGUUCUGAAAUUAGAGAGAGGGUGUGAGAGAUCAUGAGAGGACGGAGGGGCGAAUGGCGGAGUGAGAUUCAGCGCGUCUCUUCUCUGCAUAUAAAAGAUGCCGCACAAUUAUGCAACUUACUCCAUAGACUUAUAAACAUCACAAUUAUAAAUUCUGAAACUGAUAUAAAUUGAAUAGAAAUACACAAAGCAUAAACAAAUUCAGCAUAUGAACACCAAAACUUACCAAACUCAUGUGCUUGCUUGAAGCUGUUUUUGAUCAUUUUUCUACAAUCUACUGCAUAAAAAGGACCAAACUAUAACGGCAAACUAUAUAUAUAAUUUGCUAUAAUACCCAAAAAAAUUAAAUUACAUUAACAUUUGAGUGGAAGCCACGACCAAAGUGGUAAAAUUGAAGAAAACAUCAAAAUCCCAGAAAAAAAAACAAAUUCUUUCAGAAAAAAUCAAAGAAAUUUACUCAGGUAAUCAAUCAAUUAUGUACCUAAUUCCCCUGAUGUCUUGAAUAAAUAUAACACUCCAAGAUAAAUUAACUACCCAAUAUUAAUUUUUCCUGUUUCUUUCUUCUUAUUCUCGGGAAAGAAACAAACCCAAAACAAAUAAUUGAAGAAAACAUACAGAAAAUAUUGGGGAGGAGUAACAUACAAUCUGCUGAGUUCUUAUUCGCUUUGUAGAUAAGAGAUGGUGGCUUCUCAUCGAGUUCAUGUAUGUAUUGCCUGGAGUGAGAUGGUGAGCGGGCGUGAGAGAAUAGGGCAGUGAGAGAGAGUCGGGAGAGAAAAAGAGGGAAAGAAAUGGCGAUGGAAACGGACGGAAACGUAGUCGAAGCAGAGCAAUCCACGAUGAUUAACGCGUGGGCGCUCUUAAACUGUGCAAAAGCAGUGGUAAUUUUGUAAAUAAAUCGAAAUUUUCAAUUUGCGGUGAAGAGAUGAUGGUAAUUUUGUAAAUAACUCAAAAUCCACUCCAAGUUACUAUUCAUUUGAAUAGUGCAAUUGAAAAGCUUUCUUUAGACAAAAGCUAGAAAAAAUGCCCGCGCUUCGCUGCGGGUUUUGAAACUAUUAGCCAUAAUAGACGUGAAUAAUUGGCACGAAAAGAUGCAUUACAAAGGCGACACAAAUGGAGUCAUGUCCUAAAAUGAACCAGUGCAGAUGAAUAAUUUGCAAAAUCACAUUCAGUUUCAUUUCUAUAGGUCAAAAAACAAAGAAAACAUGUAUAUUAACUUGUCAUAUUUUAUAAAACUAAAAGCAUGGACAAUUCAGUGCACCUUGGUUGCACAUUUGUCAUAUCCAGCAGCUCACAUCGGCCACCCCCCACUGGAAUCCAAGGCUGAGGGAAGCCAUCUGCGGGAGUUGUCAUCUGAAGCACCACUCUUAUCUUUGCCUUUGUCUGAUUUGAUAUGUUGCUUACUAUUGCAUGGAUGCCAAGUAGCUUCAACAGCCUUCGAUGUACACAUAUCUGAAAUGCGGUCUUGUCCUACUGUUAGAAGCAAAGAUAGGAGCCCUAAUAGCAUAUUCUCAAGAGCUUCAUAGAGAGCUCUUUUGUUUCUCUUUGUCAACCACUGCAAGGAUUGCAAUUCAAAUUUAAUCAAAAUAAUUCAUUUCACAUUCAUAAUAAACCCGAAAGUGACUUGAUAAGAUGAAAUUAACCCAAUUACGUGUGAAAGGAAACCUUUCCAAUUAAAUGAAUGAAAUAUUUGAUGUGGAUCAAAACCAAAACCAAAUGAAAACAAAUAUCGACAACUGCCCAAGUUGGUGUUUGCCCCAAAGGUCUUCCUCCUCCUCCUCCUGCCAUCCUUUAAUUGAAACCCUAAUUUUCCUUACUACUAAAUAAUGCUAUUUUCGAUCUAUUUCUUUCGGUGUGUAAACUUUACUAAUUCUCGAUAAUUUUCAAUCACUUCCACUGUAAUUAAAAUAAGUACUGAGUAUAUACACACUCAUAAAAACACAAAUUCAGUUUUCCAUUCUAAAAAAUGAACGAAAGCACAUACUCCAAGUCAAUGUUCCUACUAUAUUCAUUAAUCCAACGAUGCAUCAAAUAUAAAAAUUAAAUUAUACCUCUAAUUUAUAACCUUUUGAUCUUGCUUCAUCUGCAGCUAAACCAAAAUUUGGACAAUCCCCAAUAUAAUUCCGUCAAAAUCCACAUAGCAACACCAUGUAAGAAUCAUAUUGGGUGUCUACACCCACACUUAUCAAUGUACACAUAAAUUUGAAAUCUGAAUCACUUGGGCUUCAAAGAAGGCCAAAAGUCUUUGUAUUCAAGCAUUUAAUACUCUACAGAAAUUAACUAAACACAGCCACAUUGAAUACCAAACCCACUUACUUACCAUCUUAUCCAACUCUUAUUUCGUAAAUUUUUCUGGUAAAGAAGCGUAGUUUAUCCUGAGCUCUGCAAUAGAAUAAUUCAAUUCUUCUUCAUUGCUUUUCAAUAGGAUCCCUACAAUCAAACAAACAUAAUUACUCUAGUAAAUAACUUCAAUUUAAAAUGCAAAGAUAUAACAGAAAGGAAAGUGAUUAAUUAAAAAAUAAAACUGUUAAAACAACAGACUGAUACACUUAACAUGCCAAUUUAUAUACUAUAUAACAAUACUAAAUCAAUUAAUUUAUAAAGAUUAGAAAUGGAUUACAAAAAGCAGAAAUCUUAUUUGGCAUGUAUGAAAAUGAUACACACAUUCUUAGCCAAUCAGCAUGAAAAAGGUAUAGAAAACUAAUUUACUUUGUUAACUUUGGACAACUGGAGAGAUGAAAGAACUCUUAGUUUUUACUAUAAGUAUGACAACCAUGUGAUUUCAUUGUUAAUUGGGACUGAUGUGUGUCAUUAGGAUUGCCAAAAUUAGUGAUCUUAGAGUUUGGCAGCCAAUGACCGAAUUGGACUCAAGUUUAUCAACAUUUGAUUCAACUAAACUAAAUUGGAUACGCUCAUUAGCAUAGAAAUAUGUAUACCAUAUGACAAUAUUGAAUCAAGUUAUUUGCAAAGAUUUAAAAUGCAAUGUAAAAAGGAAAAAAUUUAUUUUAUAUGUAAUAAAAUGAUUAACAAAUUUUUUAUUGAGCAGUAUAAAAAAGGUAUUAAAAACUAACCUAAUUUAUUAAGUUUGGAAAAAUUGGACAGAUAAAAGAAAGCUUUUAAUCCUUACUAUAACUAAAAUAACUAUGUUAUUUCAUUAUCAAAUAGGAUUCAUACGUGUAAUCAGGGUUAAGAAAAUCACUGAUUAAAGAAUCUGCCAGAAAUCAUCAAAUUGGACUUGAACUUACCAAUUUCUGAUUCAAAUAAACUAAGAAAAGGAGUUGGAAUCAAACUAACCUCUGUUUUCUAUAUGCAGCAAACUGCAUCUUGUUUUUGCCCUUGUUAACAACAUAUCUUCGCUCUGUACACACCAAAAAACAGUAAACACCUCAUUCAUUACUAACAGCCAUUUCAAUCAAUUAAUUAUUUAGACAAAUUUUUCAACGAUUCCGAAGCUCAGACAAAAAUUGCAUGAGAAAAUUGAGAUUAUAUGCAAUUGGAUGUCAAAGAACCUGAAAAUACCAUAUAUCCAAUAUUUAGUGCAUACACCUAAAAACUAAUCUUUAUAUAUACUUUAAAAUAAUACAGAUCAAUGUAAUCUAAAACAUUGGAAAUGCAUAUCAGUGCAAGCCAAGGUCUCAAGUUCUCAGAGUGGGGAAUUACUGAUUAGAACAGUUAAUUCUCUGCUCCUUUUUGGGUAUGAACUAAUUAGCAUAGUAGCCAUAAAAAUACGAAACAAAAGCUCAAUAAUUUAUGCAAUUUGGUUAAAUUUUAUACAAUUUCUAGCAAAACCCAAAACUCAAUAAUACAAAAGGAACCCAAUAGAUGAUUAAAGCAAUUUUAUACACAACUUAUGCAAGUCCAAAGAAACGCAUUUGAUCAAACUUACUGAAUACUGAAAAAAAAAAUUACAAUCAAAGUACGGAUUAAUAACUACCUCAACAACUAACAGAGCCAAAGCCAAACCCUAGAGCUUCGAAGGGCAGAGACGAUCACAGAGACAAGAAUAGUCCUUAUUCCUUCCCACUGCUGCUGCUGCCACUUUCUCUCUCUAAAAACCAAUUGGAAAUUGUUUAUAAAGAGACAGAGAGGAGAGGGCUAUGAUGAUUGGAUGAAAGAAGCAUGAAAAACUAAAAGACAUGUAAGCUUGAAUUCGAGUCCCAAAUUGAAAAUAUAAGGGAGGAGUGUAAGGGUGGCUUACCGAGGUCAGGAGAGGUGAGUCUCAUAGGAAAAGUCGACGAACAGUGGCAGGAGCCAGUGCACAGUGAAAGGCCUCGCCUGUGUCUCCUGAACAGAACAGAGUGAGUGAUAGUGGUUCUGUGAGAUGGAGCGAGUGGUGGUGGUGCUGUAGUCAUGUUUUGCCGGAAAAUGGAGGCUUUGGUGCGCCUCGGUGUUUACAGAGAAAAGAAAGGGGAGUCCAGGGAGCUAGUGGUUGUUUGAUGGAGUUGAGGCUCGCCGGAGUGGCGAGUUGUGAUGUGGACUCAGGCCUCUCGGCCUCUGGGUUUUACGGAGAAGGGGAAGAUGGUUUAGGGUUGAGAGAGAUGGAGGGACGGCUAGGUUUUAGAAAAGAUGAAGAAGAAUGGGGGUGAGCAGCGCUGGGGCUACAUGUUGAGGGAAAUGAAGAGAGAGCAAGAAGAAGUCGAAGGCAGUGAACCCUACGGACAAAUUUACCCUUCUAAGUUAUAAUAAUUACCCUUCCAACCCAGCCCAAAUCUGAUGGGUUCCUUGUAAAUAAGGUGAAAUCAAGUGGCAAACAAUUGACUGUAGCCAUGAACAGUAAGGAACAGUGCCAAUUGAAAAGCCUUCUUUAGACUAAAGUAAUAAGGCUUUUCAAUUGCACUAUUCAAAUGAAUAGUAACUUGGAGUGGAUUUUAAGUUAUUUACAAAAUUACCAUCAUCUCUUCAUCGCAAAUUGAAAAUUUCGAUUUUUUCACAAAUUACCACCGCUUUUGCACAGUUUAACAGCGCCCACGCGUCAGUCAUCGUGGAAUGCUCUGCUUCGACUACAUUUCCGUCCGUUUCCAUCCCCAUUUCUUUCCCUCUUUUUCUCUCCCGACUCUCUCUCACUGCCCUAUUCUCUCACUCCCGCUCACCAUCUCACUCCAAGCAAUAGAUACAUGAACUCGAUGAGAAGCCACCAUCUCUUAUCUACAAAGCGAAGAAGAACUCAGCAGAUUGUAUGUUACUCCUCCCCAAUUUUUUCUGUAUGUUUUCUUCAAUUAUUUGUUUUUGGGUUUGUUUCUUUCCCGAGAAUAAGAAGAAAGAAACAGGAAAAAUUAAUAUUGGGUAGUUAAUUUAUGUUGGACUGUUAUAUUUAUUCAAGACAUCAGGGGAAUUAGGUACAUAAUUGAUUGAUUACCUGAGUGAAUUUCUUUUAUUUUGUCUGAAAGAUUUUUUUUUUUCUGGGAUUUUGAUGUUUUCUUGAAUUUUACCACUUUGGUCGUGGCUUCCACUCAAAUGUUAAUUUAAUUUACUUUGUUUGGGUAUUAUAGCAAAUUAUAUAUAUAGUUUGCCGUUAUAGUUUGGUCCUUUUUAUGCAGUAGAUUGUAGAAAAAUGAUCAAAAAUAGCUUCAAGCAAGCACAUGAGUUUGGUAAGUUUUGGUGUUCAUACGCUGAAUUUGUUUAUGCUUUGUGUAUUGUCUAUUCAAUUUAUAUCAGUUUCAGAAUUUAUAAUUGUGAUGUUUAUAAGUCCACGGAGUAAGUUGCAUAGUUGUGCGGCAUCUUUUAUAUGCAGAGAAGAGACGUGCUGAAUCUCACUCCGCCAUUCGCCCCUCUGACCUCUCAUGAUCUCUCACACCCUCUCUCUAAUUUCAGAACAAUAUUAAGCAGCUUGAGCUCUCUUUGCAUUGAAUCAAUGGCAGUCAUCUAAGGAUGAUUUUUCUUUGCCUUUUUGUUGGAUUAGUGAAUUUUUAGCUUAAUUUGGGUAGUGUAGGUUCCGUUUUGGCUUAAUUUCGAUUUUCAACUCUAAUAAAAUAUUGGUUUUAGGGAUUUCUUCUUUGUGAUCAUCUUCAUGUUUGAUUGGUGAUUUAGCGUGUGGAUUGUCUACUUCUUUGAUGAAAACUCUCACCGUUGGGACUAAUAUAGGUUUCUCAUAUUUUUUUGCACCAUUUGUGAGGGAUUUAAUUUUCCUUUGUGGGUUUUCUUAUACUCAAGGUAUGAUUUACAUUCUGGAAUUCAUGGUUCAAUUGGAAACCACGAUGACAUAUCAACGUGUGUAGGACCCUUGAUUUUGUAUUAUUUACAUUCCUGCCAUUACCAAAAAGCAUGGGCUGCAGAGAGAGAGGGAGAUAGGCGGGGGAUGGCAGGGAGGGGAAGGGAGAGGGAGGAGUGAGGUUGCUAUAAAAAGGGGUUAUGGUUGAUUUUUUUUUCUCCUCAAAUCAAGGGUUGGUGUCGGGAUUAAGGGAUGUGUCAAAAUUGCCAAUAGAAGCCUAAAUUAAUGGGUAGUUGUCGGUGAUUGAGAGAUUGAGAGGGAGAAAAUUGGGGGAGGUUGUCACUGACCCGAUGGAGUGAGGGAUUUUGUGAGGAUUAACUAACUUAUUGACUAGGAACACAAGACAAGACAUGCUUCCGGUAAACCGCCUCCGUCGCUUUCCUCCUCUCGCCUCCGUCUACCUCCUCUCCCUUUCUUCGUCUCCCCCUCCUCCUCUCUCUCUCUCUCUAUGGAAUCGAUCGAUCUUCGAAGAGGAUAAAAAGAUCUGAAAUGGUGUGCUUCUUCUACUGUGAUUCUGUGUUUUUAAUUUUUCUGGGUUUGGCUUCUUCUUUUAUUCCACUACUAAUUUACAAAAAUAAUGAAUUUUGUACAUUUUGUUUUUAUUUUACUUUUUGUUAUAUUUCAUUGUAAUAUCAAAUAGAGUUGGUAUUUUAAAAUCUCACUGCAAUGUUUUUUGUUAUAUUGUUGGUGGGUAUCUUUAAUUAUGCCCUGAUGGAGAAAGGCAAAGAGGACAGACCUGGAUUUGGGGCAUAAAAGGGAUCUUUAGAUUUCUGUGAAAGUACUUUGUGCCUUUUUGCUAUUGGUGAUGAGUGUUCAUGAAUAUUUAUGCUUUAAUAUAGCUGUUACAGGAGCAAGUUGUUUAGUUAAAAUCCUAAGAAGAUUAGGGUAAAACAUUCCGGCUCUCUCAUUAUUGAUAGUCUGAAUUUCUGCAAUCUCUGAGAUAUAUUUGGGAUAGUUUUAUAGUGAUAUACAUCAAGGUUCAAGAAAAACUUUGCUGCACUGCACUAUAGGAGUAUCUGGUUGAUGAAAUUUUUCUGAUUUAAGCAUUUAGCUCCUCGAUUGCAUUAAAUCAGUAUUUAAAGAAGUUUUUGUCUGAGAAUGCAUUGAUAGAAUUUUUUUUGCCCAAAAAUUAACUCACAGAGCUUCCUGUGAGUUAGUCUUAGCUUUUGAUUUAAUUUUUUUAGAAUUAUUAUCAUUUUUUUUAUCUCUGCUGCUGUUUUGGAUUUUUUUUAAUGAUUUUUAUGCGAUGUUCAUCUGUGUAGGCACUCAAAUUAGUGUUUUGGAGUGCAUAUGGACCAGACACCACAAAAGAGAAAACGGAAACCAAAAUCAGAGCCAUCAAAACAAACAAAUGCUGGUAUGUCCUAAAAAAGGUUGGUUUGUGCACUUUCAAAGAAUACAUGGAAGAAGAUAAUAUUGAUCAUGGUGUAGAAUGUGAUGGUAAUGUGGUUGAAAAAGAUAAAAUGUUGCACGAAAAGAUCUCAGAGCUCAUUGACGAAAAUAUGCAGCACCAGGCUGAGUUGAUAAGGAGAAACAAGGAGAAUAGUGAAACAAUUGAGUGGCUUUUAUCCCAGGUGCAUAAGCUAACGGAUGAGAACAAAAUUUUGAAGAUUAAUCUGGGAAUCCAUAAGGAUACUACUGAUCAUACAAUUGCAAUCCAUAAGGAUGCUACUGAUUAUACAAUUACAAGGCAAAACAAGCCUCAGUUUUCAAAGUCUAAGUCCAUAGGGCCAUCUUUCCCUGGAAGGCUCACUGGAUGCCUAGAACUUGGAUCUUAAUUAGCUACUUUUCAACUUUAGUAGGUAGCGUUAUAAGUUUUCAAAUGUAUCUGUUUAUAUGCUUUCAUAAUACAUGUGAAGAUUCCGAGUCAAUUAUAACAUAUUUUAAUUUUUAAUUUUAUGAGUAUAGAAAAGGAAUUGAAUGCUUCGUUAUUUUGAUCUUGCAGCUGAAGCCAAGUCUGGAUAGAGAGAAAGAUCUCAUGGUAGGAAUCAUGGACUUGAUGAAGGUGAGGUUAACAAAGUGUGCUUUAGCACCAAGAUUGGAAUCUGGGUGUUCUGAGUUUUGUUUUGUUGUGAUUUUUCUAUAAUCUAGAUGCUGAAAUACUUGGAGUUGGAAUUAAUAAGAAUUGAUUGAACAUGGAUUUUUUAUUAGAUUGGUAUGGCUGACAUAGUUAAGAAGUAGUUUAAGAUGCAGUGAUUAGGGCAUUUCUUUAACUGAACAUAUUUGUUUUCAUGAGGUAGAUAGAAUCCUCUGUAAUUUAAUUAAUUAGAUUGAAAUUUGGGGUCUGGAUUCUUAAACUACUAUGGUGGUUAAUGUAGCUUUUUUGGUGAAUUUUUCAAGUGGGGAAAAAGAGGUGGGUGUGGGAUUUAUAUUGUUAUUCUCAGUUGGUAUAUAAAUAUUUGAGUGUGCAAGAAAUGGUUACCAUACAAAAAAUACAAGAACUGAAAUUAGAAGGGAUAAUGGCAGUUUGCAGAGGGUUGGUUCAGGGAUGGUAAAAGUUGUGUACGUGGCGAGAUUAAUGGAGGUGGUUUCGUGGUGGCGUAGUUCUCCGUGAAAAAUGGCGACGGUGGUCGCCUUGCUAUUUCUGUGCAGCGAGCACAGUAUCAAGAGAGAGAGAGAGAGAGAGGUGAGGGAAAUAGGGAGAGUAGUAGAGAGGGAGUGAGACAUGAGGGUGGUGGCAAGCUGGUGCCUUGAGGGAGUGGCGAGUGAGGUGGUGAUAGUUUCUCGAACGGGAGAUUUAUGGUGUACUAGAGAACUUGACUCCUCUCUCAGUCUGGUCUCCGGAAGAGAAAACCAAACAUAGCUAUGCAUUAGCAAAGUUUGAAAUGAGGGUUUUUAAUCUUUGGCAUGCUAUUGUCUUUAUUUGAUCAUUCUUUGAAAAAAAUUAUGAUGGACAAGUGAAAUAAACUGAAUGAAAACUUGGAGAAGAAGUUCUGAUUUUUAAUAUCUUUAAUCCGGGAUUAUUGUGAUGCCCUUUGACAAUUGAAAUGUGAAUGCAUUAUGUUGCUUAGAACACAAGUCAAUAUUUUUUAAACUGUGUUAGGUAUGAUGGAUGCUAUAGAUAGAAAAAUGUUGGCUUAAGGUUGGAUUCCAGGUAAAUAUGUGCUAUCCUGGAUGAUGGAAUUGCAUAGCAUCCUAAGUUUCUUUCUAUAUUUUCCUGAACAGAUUUACUGAAAAUGUUUUUCAAGGAUAUUCAACAAUAACUUUAAUCUUCAGACUUUCUCAUUGUUGCAGUCUCUAAUGCUUUAGUUAAUCCUAUUAGCCUAUUGUUAGAUCAAUUAAAAGAGUGUUUUAGCCUUCUGUUAGUGUUUCAUCUUAUAUACUUUCUCUCAUUGUUAGAUCAGUUGUGAUUCUGUGUGGUUCAUGUUUCCGGGUGUAAAAUUGUUCAUACAAUCUCACUUUUGCAUCUAAUUAGUGAGCCAAAAAGAAAAUUUUUAACAUUUUAAAUCCUAAUUAUCUCUAUUUCAGCCAAUGCAUAUUUUUUCCACCUAAAAGUCUUUGAUGCAUGUCUUCUUUUUUUUUUUUUUAGUAUUGAAACAUACAUUGUUCGAAAUUUGUUGAGCACUUGAAACUUUACAAGUUAAGAUUUGGAAUUUUAUGAUAUAUGAUAACUGCUUUGUAUGUUUGUUGUUGAUUAAGCACGUGGGAUACAACUCGGUCUUAGACACUUAAUAAAGGUUUAUCGUUUGAAAUUAAUGGGGCACAUGUUAUUCUCAUGAUAUUGGCUGCAAAUGCUGCAGAGUGAUUACAGAAACCAACGCAGAAAAAGCUUUAUAGGUAACUUUUACAUUUAUAGCAUUUCAGAAUUCGCAUAAAUACCAGAAAACAUCUUGAAAGACUACCAUUUCAAGUGGAUCUUUUCUUUCAUGUGGAAACCAAGCUUCCUUUUUCUUAACUCAUUCUAUUAAAACUUCAAAUUAUGUUCAAUUUGUUGAUUGGCUGUUAGCACUUAAGUUGAUCUAUUUAUUUCCAAUGUACCCUUUUUUAUGCAUGAGUGCUUUUCUGUUGCAUGUUUAGAAGAUGAAUGCAUCAAUUCUUAGGUAACCUUCUUUUUGUUCUGUGACGUAGGACAGAGUAGGACAGCGGAAAUUAGAUUGUUUAGCGGAAGUGAAACGACAUAAAACUUAAAUUGAAACAUCAUAUGCUUCUGUUUUAUAGGACUGGGGGGGGGGGGGAUAAAAACAGUAUAUUUUGUUGUUGCAUGUUUCAUUUAAUUCAAACUUUCAAAUAUACACUCUCUCUCUUCAUUAUGCACAGUAUGUUGAUGUGAACUGAAUCUAAAUAAUUUGUCUUUCUGUCGAAAAUAUUCAUAGUAUGUCCUGCAUUACAGUUUCAAAACCCACAGCAGCACGUGGGCAAUUUUAUUUUCCCUCUCCCUAUAUGUAGUUUAAUAUAAUUCAACGAGUUCAAAGAGAAUGAUCAGAAUGAAGGUUUGUAUUAGAUCCGAUGUGCUUCCUCUUUCUAUGCAUUUUGGUUCAAAUUAGGGUUUUAGGUUGAAACCCGAAACGAAAAGAGAAUAAAGUUUUCAGGAUGUUCGGAUUUUGUGUUUCGAUGAGAGGAAAAAAUGAGAAAUUUGUUAAGAAAAGUUGUGGUCGGAUUUUACAUGUUUACCGUUUUCAAGGUACGGUGUUCAUCGAUCUUAACUUUAAAUUUGUUUCUCAAUUUUUUUGUAGUUUUGGAUUUGUAAAAACCCUCGAUUGAAUCGGGUGCUGGUAUGGUCCCUUACAGGAAAAAAAAGUUUCAUUUUUUUCCCCUUAAAAUUUUAGUUUUUGUUAUUUUCUUUUUUCUUCACAAAGGAACUUAGGUGGUAGCUGUAUUACUAAUUAGCUACAGAAUUUAUAUAUUCUUAUGAGUACGGUAUGGGUGCAGGUUUGCUAUGUUGCUUUUUGGGAUGAAAUUACUUUAAAUACAAAGGAAAAUUUGAUCGAUAUUAUUGGGUUGUACGCAGAAAUCUAAGUUUUACCUAUUUUGAUAAUGCUUGGUUUUUGUGUAUUGAGUUGGAUAGACAGUUCAUAGGUUUGGUUCCAUAUUUAUUCGGAGAAGAAAAACACAAAGAGGGCAACACAAUAACCCUAGGAUGAUUAUAUAUGGAAUGAAUUAAAUCUAUUAACGAAUUAUAUUUUGGGUGGUGUUAGGGAGAAACGCCUACACUCCAAAUAUUUAUGAAUUGGAUUCAUUAUAAAAUAGGUAAAUUGUAUGCAUUACUUCUUUUGGCACUAAAUCUUUUGUUAAAUUUUAUUUUGCUGACUUUUAGUUUUUGACUUUCCUUUGGCAGGACUUUUAAUUAAGCAUGCAUCUUUGGUGUAAUAUUAUCAUAUUCUUGAGGUUUGAAUUUUUUACUCUUACUUUUGUGACCAUUAUAUGUUUGCGUAUCUCUCUUUUGGGUUAUCCAUCAAUUAAAAAUUAUUAUGUGAGGAUUUUGAUUGUUGACUUAUCAUUGGUAUAUUUCAAGUGGUUUUUGAUAUUUUGAUAGGUGUUGGAAAAAAAAGAUGAAAUUGUUUUGCGCUCAACGCAUAGUUAAUCUUAAAAUAGGGUUUAUUAAAUUGGUUUGAUGAUAUAUAGGUGGUAACAAAUUAAUGAUGUCAACUCCUACAAGGAAGAGGCUGAUGAGAGAGACUUCGAGAGGCUGCAACAAGACCAGCCUGCGAGGAUUAGUGGGGCGCCUCAGGAUAACAAUAUAAUGUUGUCGGCGAGGUUAGUUAUUUUUUAGGCUUUGCUUCUACAAACGUGAACUCUUUACAUGGAAACCGAAUUUUAUGUGAAUUUUAAUAGUUAUAUAUCAAACUCCUCUGCACUGAACUCUGUGUAUUACAACAAUUAUAAUUAGAACUUGGAUGAAAUGGGCUCCAUCCAGCAAAACUCCUGCCCUAACAAUAAUAAUUAGAACCAAAUUUGAUAAUUUCUCAUAGUUUAGGCCAUUUGGCCAAGUCAGAAUGAGAAACAUAGAUGUUUUCUUUAUCUUAUGCUAUUUGUUUGGCUGUAAAUCGUAUGGAGUAAAUCUCAUGGUGUCAUUCUAAAUAAACUGGAAAUAUGUCUCAUGCAAAAUUAAUGUUGAUGUUUAUCAAUGGAAAUAAGUUUUGAAGUGAUUACCUUUCUUUAUACAAGUUCUCUUCACAAUGAAACCUAUAUUAUAGUGUCACUUUUACUUGCUUUCGCACAAAAGGGGUGUCUGGACAUGUAAUUGGCGUGUCAUUACUCACUAAAUCUUUUUUAUCCUUAUCUUCUAUAUUAAUAUCACCAUUUUUUUGGGUGCUCAUUGAGUGGUUUGGCAGGUAAUAGAUAAAGGUUUUAAUGCAUUCAUUUAAUGUUAUUACAGAUCUGCUAAAUUCUUCAAGAAGUCCGGUUUACAGAACUGAAGCUGUUUAAGCACAAGGUGUCCCAGUUUAUAGAUGAGGUAUUAUAAAAUUUAAAAAGCGUCAAUAUUAUCAUUACUGAUCCUUAACAUUUAACUAUCAAAGCUUGAGUUUAUAAUAAUUAAUUCUUCACUGAUGAUAUGUUGUGAUGGGGUUUAGUAAUUUUCAGUAUUCUUCAAUUCUUUUAAUCUGCAAAAUCAAAUAGCCCAUGGAAUUUAUGGCAUACAAUUAGUUUCCUUUCAGUUGGGUUGAAAUGAUAUUGAUUGUGUUGUUAUGAAGCUCCUUUUUAUAGUUAGGUUGAAAAUCAUAUUGAUAGAUUCUUUAUUUGGUUGGUCCUAUCUGUAACAAAUGGGAUUGUUUUGUUUGAUGUUUGAAUCAAAAUUUGAUCUUUUUUUGUGUGAAAUUAUGAUGGAAUCGCAAAUUUGUGAGGUAUAUCUUAGAUUAUUGGUUGCAUAGUCACCUUCCCACAACUAUCACAUUGUCUCUUGACUAGAUGAAUUUUUAUAAUUUCUAGGAUCUACGGUUGCAAUGCUUUUGAUGCAUGCAAUCAGGAGGAUGCUACUACUCUUAUGGAGCUUCUUUGGCAUGGUAAGUUGAAGUUGCAUAGCAUUUUUUUUUCGUUCACGAAAUUCGUUAUCUUGCUAUCCUGGCAAUUAGCAGUGUCUGACAACUGGUGAAGUAUAUGAAUAUAUGUGGAAGUUUGAAUUAUACAAAUGAAAGUGAACUUUUAACAACUCUAACUUAGAAUUUUUAUUAAUUUCUUUCAUUUGUGUUCGACUAUUUUACUUUUUUGGUAUAUAAGUACAACUAUAGAUCGAAAACCACAUAAAUUACCUAACAGCCAAGGAAUUGUUUGUGGUAGAACAUAACAUGAUGUAAAGCUCAAAUUUUGGGCACUUAAAUAUAUGUUUUUUUUUUUUCAAUUACAAUCAGUCAGCAUGAAAGUUCAAUUGGAUUUGUUCUGGUCUCCAAAAAUUUUUCUUUGUUUGGUUACCGAUUAAUUUAUGUGGUGAGAGUUUAGUUUUUGCUUUUCUGCCUAUGUAUAUAUGAUUUGAAAUGGACAAUUCAAUUUUCUAUAUAUAAAUUUGUAGUCGAAGAGUUCGAAGGAGAGGUGAAUUAGAAACAAUGGGGGGAAGAGUGAUGGAGUUGAGGAGUUGAGAGUUAAUGAGGUAUACUUGAAUUUCUGUAUGAUGUCCUUGGUAUUGGGAGAUCAUUGAGACUAACUAUCUGGUUGAUUAAUCACGAUGUCCUUGGUAUUGGGAGAUCAUUGAGACUAACUAUCUGGUUGAUUAAUCACUAAUUUGAACUAUUUGUGCUUGGAAAAUUAGCUACUUGAACAAGUACUGAACGCUUUCUAUGUUUUCUCUUAUUAACUGCUGAAAUAGGUGCCUGCCCUAUAGGACACAUAUUUUGCCUUCUUAACUACAAGGGAAAAAUAUGUGUGAAUUGCAUGUUGCUUAUGUUUCUUAUGGAAACAGAACUUUUUUUGGCAACCAUGUCUUUGUGAUCAAGAAUGUUCAGUUUCUUCCUACUAAUUGUGCAAUGUCUUUACAUGUCAACUUAGUGGAAUGUAUAUAAAAGUCAAACUACUUAUCUUAUCGAUCUCAUUCACUCAUGUGUCCCUCUGUUCAUUCAUGAUUGUGUUGAAUUUUUUCAGGUAAAAUGUGUCUUAUUCAUGCAGUUACGCCUGAAAUAGUGGUUCCCACUGCAACACGUGGGCUUAUUUUCUAGUUAUGUCUAUUUUUGUCAUUAUACAAAAUUUCCAAAAUUUUACAUUAGUAUUUACCAAACGCUUUUAUACUACUUUUCAUACUUACAGCAGUUUUAAAAAUACAGUUUACCAAACGUUCAGCUGCUUUAUUUUACAGCUGAUUAUUCUUAAAGCACAACUGUUGACCCUAAAAACUACAAAGCCUACGUGGCGCGCAGGCCGAGUAAUUAAUGAGCUAACUACGUCCUUCGGUGAAUGCGGGGCGUGCCAACUCGUCGGCCGAGCUCGGCCGAGGAGUAAAUUUGUUGAUGUUGCGUUGGGUCGCGCUACUGACUUCUGCGUCUUGCCAUUGCGGCCGAGAAAGGAACACGUCUCGGCCUCUUGGGCUCUCGAACCUGAAGACAAGGUUACUAUUCUUACGAAGUUCAAAAUCAAAUUCGGCUUUCAAUGUGCCGAAUGUAAUAACUGUAACACCUCACUUCGCCGAGAAGGCUGAUGAGAUGACCUCGACCAAUAAGGAUUUAGAAACCCUUCUCGACCGAGACUUGGAUAGGUAAUCAAUCGUUCUCGCCGCAGUGCUGUUGAUGCCAACGGAAGGUACUGCGAGACCGACUGACUCUACAGUGACAGAGCUAUCUAUGCCGACUUAAGAUAUCACCGGUUGCUUCCACAGUGCUGUUGAUGCCAACGGAAGAUGUGUCAGUGAAAAAGGAAAAAGAAAAAUCACAAGUUGUGAGAGUUUGCGCAGGGCAAUUUUGUAUUGAUUUUGUGGGUCUCGUUCCGUUGCCACUGCCUCUCUAUUUAUAGAGCUAACUUAGCAUAAAACCCGGCCGUGACCAUCAAUCACCACCACAAAUAAUAAUCGUUACGCGAGGAUGAUUAUCCAAUGAGAAUCGUAGCACUCAAAUCUCUUUGGUGCUAACGCAUUUCAGCCAAAACCACAUAACAAAUCAUGGCAUGCCAAUUCCGUCUUUUGCUAAAGAUAAGCAUUGUCGUUCAAAUCCUAGUCCCAAAGCCCUGGCAUAUCAAGCUUUAUCCAUAGGAUAUUCACUUCACCUAUUUGGCAACCUUGAAUUUGCUAAUAAUUAUCCCAUGCAUGCAUCACAUUAGCUUACGUAAUUAAUCUUUCAAGUUGGACUCCACCUUGAUCACCAACUGAUGCCACCACGUGCUAGGACUCUUCUCAUAAUGCAUGAUGCUUAAUCCCCGCGUCGAAUGAUAAGAAUCCCACAUUAAAUCGAACUGUUCUGCUUGCUUCGGUAUAGUUUGCGUCACAUUUAUCUUGUAUAAAAAGUGUCAAGAUAAUUCAUUAUUAAAAGAUCAUUAUUAUGAUUAAAAAUCAUAAUAUUAUCCCCUAACAACAAUAAAAUUAUCUUAACUUUCCUAUCCGACGGUGUGGAGCAAUGCUCACUCAACGGCCUUGAUCGCACGGGCCGAUGAUGUAAAUUGAGGUCCAAACAACAACAGAAGCAGUUUUAAAAAUAAGAACAGCAAUCCCAAACUGGCCCUUAGUCGAGGCGAGUCCUCCUUUGUCCCAUUGAACUUAGUCCUGCCAGUGAACAAACACGGAUUACACUACCUUUUAACUUAAGCUAGUCCAGUGAGAGCUAAAAAGGCAAACAAACAUCCCCUUAAUCGUUUCUGUACAGAGACUGCUAAAGAAACAGCAUGAUCAAAAUCAAAGAAUCAUGAGGCGGCCCCAGCAAGCCCCUCAGCGGCUCUACGUCCCUCCGUCGUCGCGCGACGGAAACAGCCACGACAACUACGAAGACACCGACCUCGACAACAUCGAUUACGACGACAACGAUGGUUCCAAGGACCCCGGGAGUGACGACAACAACCACGGCAACGCUGGCAGCGGUGAUGAAGAAGUCGAUCCUCUGGAUGCUUUCAUGGAGGGGAUUCAUGCGGAGGUGAGGUCAGCUCCGCCGCCGAAGCUGAAAGUGAAGGCCGAGAAGUACAGGGACGAUGAGGAGGAGGAUCAUAUGGAGAGGUUUCUGAGGGCUAAAAGGGACGUGGUGCUCACGCUGGCAUCAGAUGCUUUACACACCAGAUAUGACUCCGAUGAAGAGGUAUAUGCGACCGCCAAGGCCGUCGAUGCCGGGUUGUUGGAGUACGAUUCAGAUGAUAAUCCCAUUGUUCUGGACAAGAGGAAGAUCGAGCCGAUUUCAGCUCUCGAUCAUAGUUCAAUCGACUACGAGCCGUUUAAUAAGGAUUUUUACGAGGAGAAAGAGUCGAUUUGAGGUAAAUUCCAACCGAACUGAGAAUUUGGUUUCUUUCUUUUUUUCUUUCCAUUCACAUUUGUUUUUUAAAUUUUUGUGUGAAUUUAGUCGAAAUGCGUAGCAAAGUAUUUAAAUUUAAGUGGGAGAGAAUAUUGACCGGUAGAAGUUCUCAAGGAGAGAUUUGAAAUGGAAGACUAGAGUUAACUGGUGUUUUGGUUUCCUUGUUUAGGGAUGAGUGAGGAGGAUGUUUUUUAGUACAAGAAGAGCUUGGCCAUCCGUACGUCGGGGUUUGAUGUACCGAGGCCAGUUAAGACAUUUGAAGAUUGUGGAUUUUCUUCACAACUCAUGGCUGCCAUAAAAAAACAAGACUACCAAAAGCCGACACCAACACAAUGCGUAGCUCUACCCAUAGUUCUUUCCCGGAGAGAUAUAAUUGGUAUUGCGAAAACUGGUUCUGGAAAGACUGCCACUCUUGUCCUUCCAAUGAUUGUCCACAUUAUGGAUCAGCCAGAGCUUCAAAAAGAAGAAGGUCCAAUUGGAGUGAUAUGCGCUCCUACUAGAGAGCUGGCGCACCAAAUAUACUUAAGAGUCCAAAAAAAUUGCAAAAUCACAUGGGAUACGUAUCUCUGCUGUAUAUGGUGGAAUGUCUUAAGCUUGAUCAGUUCAAAGAACUUAAGGCAGGAUGUGAAAUAGUUUUUGCUACUCCUGGGAGAUUGAUCGACAUGCUUAAAAUGAAGGCACUGACAAUGCUUAGGGCAACUUACCUAGUACUUGAUGAGGCUGAUCAGAUGUUUGACCUUGGGUUUGAGCCUCAAAUUAGAUCUAUUGUUGGUCAGAUUCGGCCAGACCGACAGACAUUGCUCUUUUCUGCGACAAUGCUCCGUAAAGUUGAAAAAUUGGCUAGGGAGAUUCUCUCAGAUCCUAUAAGAGUUACAGUGGGUGAGGUGGGAAUGGCCAAUGAGGAUAUCACUCAGGUUGUUCAUGUAAUUCCUUCUGAUGAUGAGAAGCUGCCCUGGCUUUUUGAGAAGUUACCAGGAAUGAUUGAUGAGGGUGAUGUUUUAGUAUUUGCUUCAAAAAAAGCUGCAGUGGAUGAGAUCGAGUCACAGCUUGCUCAGAAAGGUUUUUAAGUCACAACUCUGCAUGGUGACAAGGACCAAGCAUCUCGGAUGGAUAUUUUGCAAAAAUUUAAAUCUGGCAUUUACCAUGUUCUUGUUGCAACUGAUGUUGCUGCUCGUGGUCUUGACAUCAAGUCAAUUAAGUCAGUUGUGAACUUUGAUAUUGCAAAAGACAUGGACAUGCACAUCCAUUGAAUUGGUAGAACAGGUCGGGCUGGUGAUAAGGAUGGCACUGCGUACACUCUUAUUACACAGAAAGAGGCACGUUUUGCUGGUGAGUUGGUUAAUAGCUUGGUUGCUGCUGGUCAGAUUGUCUCCACGGAGCUCAUGGACCUUGCGAUGAAGGUAAUUUUGCAUUACUAUUAACAUUUUUUUUUUGUGGUUUAUAUAGCGAGUUUAUACAUGCAUCCAACUACUUGCCUUUUUGUUUUAGAGAUGGUGGUUAUAACCUUAGUUUGUAAUCCUAUAAUGCAUUUAAGGCGAAUACAAGUUAUUAAUAUGUUCUCUGGUAAAACGUGCUCUUUUUAAUGCAAUAUGGAUUCUGGACAAUUACACCUACUGGUGUUUGUCUCACAAAUAAACUACGUUAUCUUCACUCUACUAUAUAGGUGCAUAGGUUGCUUCUGAUUUAGAGUGCGCUUUCGAGAGAGAUGGAUUUGAUGACCAUUUGGUCUUCAAGGCCUUAUUUUGGAAAGCUUUAGUAUGUCCUUGGAAUUACAGGGAUCUUGAGAUCGUUGACUUCAUAACGUCAAGAUAGUCAAUUUCAGGAAAUGUGCUUAGUUUAGGGAGAGAGUAAUUAGACAGUCUUUAGUAGUCCCAUCUUUACUUCAUACCAUGCUCUGCUUAGAAAAGGGGUUGUUGGGGGUGUAUGUUGGCUUGUUGGGUUGUGGAUUGAAGCAUAGAGAUGACUUGAAGAUGAAGCUCAGUCUGGGGACGUAAUAACUUUUGUGUAUUAUUAAGUACUCGCUUGCAUUCUGGGCUACCAAUACAUCGGUUGAGGCCAACCAAUUUGCAUUUAAGAACUAAGAGAAAAAUCGCAUUUUAAGUACUAAAUCUUAAUUACCACAUGGACCCUUAGUAAAUUGUCACUUAUUUUCCCUUGUGCCAAUAUAUCUCAUAGACAUAAAUGCACAGCUUAUCAUGAUAGGUGGCUGCACCUGCAUUAGUUUUAGAAGUUUUACACUAUGAGAGCCACUCAUGCAUCAUUUCUUCAGUCUUGUGACUUUUAAUUCUUGCCUUGCUGCUUGUAGCUUUGUAUUUUAUAUCCAUCAUAAAUACACUGGUUUCCAUCUCCUACAUGGAUGUGCAGUUAUUUUGGGUGCACCUUGUCUGUGGAACUUUUGUUGCUUUCCCUUACUAUGUUUCUUGUUUGAUAGCUUUAGAUGUUAUGUUAGAUUUCAGAUUUUACAUUCUCUAUUUUAAUGGGAUUUACCUUGUUUAUUAUCAGGAUGUUAGAUUCAUAUCAAAAUGUGAUUCAAGAAAAGGAGUUAUAAACUUUAAUCAUAUUAAAAUUUCAAUUUUCUUAAGGUUCUUUUGCAAUUUCAUAUUAAAUAAGCCUUUUUCUACAAUUCAAAUGAUGAUAUUAUAUGGAUUCUGCAGGUGGAAAGAAAGGUAGAGGGAGGGGCGGCGGUGGUCGAGGUGUGCGUGGGGUGGAUUUUGGUCUGGGUAUUGGAUAUAAUACGGAGUCCAAUAGUUCUUCAUCGAAUACUGUUCCUAGUCGAUCUGUUGCAGUAACUCCUCAGAGGACAGGAAUGAUGUCUCAGUUCAAGACUAAAUUUGUUGCCGCUUCAUCUAACUCUCCAAGUCAAGGUUCAGCUAACAGCUCUAGUGUGCCCAACAGACAGGCAUUACGAGGAUUUGUAUCCGGUGGUUCAAUAGGUGGUGAUGUAUAUAGAACUCAGGCAACCAGUACAAUUACUCCUGCUCCUGCUCCAACAUCAAUGGUAAAUAAAACUGCUACUCCGAACACUGGACAAAAUUCAAGUCAGAAACCCUCCGAAAGGUUAAUUAAACUGAUGCUUGGUUAGAAUUUUUUAUGUCUUUACUUAUUUGAUUGGUGUUGAGCAGUUUCAUUUGUGCCGAUUGCAGUUCUAGAGAUAAACCCAGAGAAAGGCGGAGGCGCUCCGUUUGGGACUGUUAACCGUACAGUUGAACUACACCACUCUCGCAUAAUGAAUUACAAGUUUUACUUUUGUUGUAGGUCAAGUCCUGAUAUUCCUAUAUUAUUGUUGAUCUUUGUCACUUUCUUUGUCGCUCUGUUUAUAAGUUAAAAGAAACAGAAGAUUUUGUAAACUCAGAUCGACUUGUUGCACAAAUAGUGGAUGAUUUAAAACAUAGACUGUUCGUAUCAUUAAAAUACGUUAUGAAGUAGAUUCUACAAAAAGUUGUGCCGUGUAAAAAAAAUUGUGAUGUUUCACAUGUGCUCCGUAUGUUAUUUAUAUUAAUCAUUCUGAAUUACAUCAUAACUCAACGACUUGGUAUAUAAUACAAUAAGGCCUUGUUGGAUGUCAAUGAUUUGAUUGGUUAUGACUGGAUUAGAUUGGCUUAGUUUGGAAAAUUCACUAGAUUCAGUGAAUGUUGAAAGAAAAUAUGGAUUGCUAUUUUGUUCAAGUGAAGAUGGAAGAGAAAAAGAAUAAGACAAGUAUAACAAAUCAAAUAUUGACGGAGCAUGCAUAGGUUUUUAAUUACAACUAUUCGUCAAUUGGUGCUUAUAAUUUUUGGUUUUAAAUGCUAUUAUCUCUUAAAUAAAAUAAUUAUGUUGCUUUAGUCUCCUCAUCGUAUUAUACGUGUCGAAUUCGUGUGAAGUCUGGUGGGACAAGAGAGAGAUAAGGAGGUUGACUUUGAUCAAUUGACCUCCUUUCCAUAGCCAUUUUUCUUUACCUUCAUCCCCUUACACAAAGUCCAUUCUUAAGAUCUCUAGUUCUCUCUCAAUGGCUGCUAAAAGUUCCCGAGAUUCUUCUUCGUCCUCUUACCAGUGUUCCUAUCAUGCCUUCUUGAGUUUCAGAGGCCAGGACACGCGCAGGGGCUUUACUGAUCACCUCUAUAGAGCUUUGGAGCUAGCAGGAAUCCACACCUUUAGAGACGAUGAUGAAAUCAAGAGAGGGGAGAAUAUUGAGUCGGAGUUAGAGAAGGCGAUAAAGGAGUCACAAGUAUCCAUAAUUGUCUUCUCCAAGGACUACGCUUCCUCAAGGUGGUGUUUGAACGAACUUCUGAAGGUCGUGGAACGUAGAAAUACUGAUCGUAGACAUGUGGUUCUGCCAGUUUUCUAUGAUGUGGAUCCAUCCGAUGUCAGGAAGCAGAGUGGUACUUUUGCUGAAGCAUUUGCCAGACACGAGGAGCGAUUCAGUACGGAGGAGAUGGACAAGGUGGAGCUGUGGAGAAGAGCUCUUAGACAUGUUGCAAGUUUGGGAGGCAUGGUUUUAGGAGAUCGGUAAUUUCUAUUCUCAUUAUGUUCUCACGCUAAUUGAAAGUGUCUUUUAAAUUAAGUAAAAUUGUAGAUGGCAGUGAAACUUGAAGUUGUUCGCCUAUAUAUACUGCAACUUUGAUUUAUAUGUUCCUAUCGAUUCAAAUGAAUUACAGGUAUGAGGGGCAGUUCAUCCAAGAUAUUGUUGGAGAGAUUAGAAAUAAAGUGGAUCACGUAGCUUUAGACGUCGCUCCCUUUGCAGUUGGAAUGGAUGCUCGUGUGAGACGCCUAAACAUGUGGUUACAAGAUGGAUCAAAUGAUGUUGGUUUAGCUGUCAUCUGUGGGAUGGGUGGAAUUGGCAAGAGCACCAUCGCGAAAGCCGCUUAUAACCGCAACUUUGAUAGAUUUCAAGGUAGCAGCUUUCUUGCAGAUAUACGAGAAUCUUCAGAACAACCCAAUGGUUUUGCUCUCUUGCAAAGAAAACUUCUUUCAGAUAUCCAAAACGGGAAAGCAAAGAAAGUAUACAAUAUGGAUGAAGGAACAAUCAGGAUCAAACAAGCCGUAGGUUAUAAAAAAGUUCUUAUUGUUCUUGAUGAUGUGAGCAACCGGGAUCAACUCAAUGCAAUUCUUGGAAUGCGAGAGUGGCUUCAUUCAGGAAGUAAAAUUAUCAUAACAACUCGACAUGAACAUUUGUUAAAUGCUCACGAUGUUUUUGAAAAGUUUAUGGUUCAAGAACUGAAUGAGUACGAAUCACUUGAGCUUUUCAGUUGGCAUGCCUUCAGACAAUCCCAUCCGGAAGAAGGUUACAAGGAGCUUUCAAGACAUGUGGUGCAGCACUGUGGAGGGCUUCCUGUAGCUCUUCAAGUUCUGGGAUCUUCUCUAUCUGGAAAAAGUGUAGAAGUAUGGCAAAGUGCAUUGCAGAAGUUAGACGUGAUCCCUAAUGACAAAAUUCAAAAAGUUCUGAGGAUAAGUUUUGAUUCUUUACAGGAUGAUCAUGACAAAAAUUUAUUCCUUCAUAUAGCCAGUUUCUUCACAGGAAAGACGAUGGAUUAUACAAGUACAAUGUUGGACAGCUUAAAGUUUUACACAAGGAUUGGGAUUGAAAAUCUAGUUGACAGAUGCCUAGUGAAAAUUCAAGGCUCGAACAGGUUGUUGGUCAUGCAUCAAUUGGUGAGAAACAUGGCAAUGGAAAUUAUUUGUGAAGAAUCACCUGAUGACCCUGGAAAACGUAGUAGAGUGUUGCAGAAAGAUGCCUCUAAUAUUUUGAGAAAAUUAAGUGUAAGAACUAUGUUUUCAUGUAUAUGUAUUUUUAGUUAUGAUUUGUUGUCCAGUACUAGUUAUAUACUUAUUCAAUGCUCUGAUUUGUUAGCAGGGUACGGAAAAUAUUAAGGGCCUCAUGCUUAACCUUGCUAGCAAAAUAACGUUUGUUGGAUGUCAUAAAAAACGAUGCCAUGAUGAAGAUUAUGAUGGAAAUUGUUCAAGACGACGUCGUCUUGGUUUCUUCUCUUGGAAGCCAGUUAGCUUUCCGUCCACAAACUCAGCUUCUGCAUCAAAUGAGAUAGAUUUCAAAUCUGAGGCGUUUAGAAGGAUGCACAAUCUUGAAAUUCUCAUGCUCAACAACGUCAACGUCAGGGGAAGCUACGAAGAAUUUCCAAAAAGUUUAAUAUGUUUAUCUUGGAGAGGAUUCCACUUAAAAUCAGUACCAGAAAAUUUUUAUUUGGAAAACCUGGUUGUUCUUGACAUGCGAAAUAGUAGCCUACAACAUGUUUGGAAUGGGAUCAGGGUACGUAACUCUCUCUCUCUCUCUCUCUCUCACUCACUCUCACACACACUUUCUCUCACACAUGUCCAUUAUAUCUUCUUAGAAAUUGAUUAAUACUUCUUAUUGAAAACAGUUCUUUCCGAGGCUGAAGAUUCUUAAUCUCAGUCAUUCGCAUGGCCUUAGGACAACCCCUGACUUCUCAGGACUCCCUAACCUUGAGAGAUUGAUUCUUAAACAUUGCAUAAAUUUGGUUGAGGUUGAUGAGUCCAUCGGAUACCUAGAGAAACUUGUUGUUUUGAAUCUAGAAGGCUGCAAAAAUCUCAUGAAGCUUCCAAAAUUGAGAUCUAUUCAGGAUCUUAUUCUUUCUGGUUGCUCAAAGCUUGUGCUUGGUGCCAAUACGACUGCCACAACUGGUCACUUACAAUCUACAGCUUGUGAAUUGAAGAAACUCAAUCUGCUAUCAGCUAAAUCAUGGUAUUCAAUCUGGUCGCGGGUGUCCCCAAGAAAAAAUAUUGAACCAAGCAGUUUCUCAUUGGCAAGUUUACCACAUUCCUUGACAAGUUUAAGUCUGGAUAGCUGCAAUCUAUCAGAGAUUCCGAGUGCCCUUACUAUGCUGUCUUCGUUAGAGUACUUGGAUCUGAAUAAGAAUCCAAUUACAAGCCUACCAGAGAGCAUGAACAAUCUUGUUAAGCUUCACACUCUUGCAGUAGAUGGUUGCAGAAACCUCACAAUGCUUCCAGAGCUCCCACAUAGUUUGAAACAAUUGAAUGGUAGAGGUUGCACAUCAUUGAAAAGAAUAACAAAUUUACCGAACUUGCACAUAUUACCGGCCACACAUCCCUUCGGCAUGCAAAAGGACAUAGAUUUAAAGUAUUACAACAUAUUAUUGGACUCAAAUUUAUGGUAUUGUGGGAAACUAGUUGAUGUUGUAAGCUUGUUUAAUACACUACCAUUGAGCAGCUUUGACAUAAAACUCC
rnacentral:lncRNA from 1 species